UGGAUUUUAUAAGUAUAGAUACAAUGGGAUUUCUUGAAAACAAGUGGUAGAAUAAGAAUAUUCUGGGAUGCCGAGUUCAUAAGAUCAUCAUCUAAUAAGAGAUCCUCGAAUAGAAUUUUUUUAUUUCUUUUCCCUUCAUUCAACAAUCAUUCACUCGCCCUAAUUUUUUUUUUUUCCUGCUUAUGUAACCACAACUUGGUCUACAACUUUCUCUCUGUGUCUCAGGUUUUUCGUGAUAUUUGUGUAUACAUUUUCUUAACUUUCUGGUAAAUAUAUUGAGCGACAUGAACGGACCACGCAUCAUAGUUAAUCAAUAUUCGUGGGUGGAACUUCUCUAUUUUGAGAAGCAGCAGUUAAAUAAUUGGCAAGCAAAAAAGAUUAAAUCUUUUGUUUUAGUUGAAAGCUAGAAUGAGCCUAAUUAGAUCCAAAUUUGAGUCCCGCUGCUGUUGUUACUAAUUAGCUGUUGCAGGAUCUUAAUAAAAAAAAAAAAGAUAACCUGUUUGUGCUUCUUCAAACAUCUUUUUACUCAUACAACACUUUUGCAGAAACUCCAUUGGGGCUUAACAAGCCUUCGAUGUGAAAAUAUAUAUCGAAGUUCGUUUUUCUUUUUCUUGUAGUUCAUCUGCACACAAUUGUGUUGGGUUUCUCCAAAAUAUGAUCUUACAUUCAUAUUUGUACUUUAUGCGGUCUCCAUGCAGGGUCAUGUACUCAUCAUGCAGGAUGCUGAAUCUGGUAAUUUGAAGUGUAAAUGGAGGAGAUUUUCUUUAGUAAUGUGAUCUUUGUUCAUGUUUUGGAUUCGAAGAUUGUGUGUAUUGUUCUCUGCAAGAUAAAUGUUGUUCUUUUUUUUUCAGAAUCCUAACUAAUGUAAAAUUAGUAAUGUGAUUUUUCUUCUUUGUAAUGUAUUCGAAUAUGUAUCCACAUACAUCUGUAAACUGAAGUACCAUGAAAUGUAAUAUUUUGGUUGUAAAAAAAUAAAUACUUUUUCCGUGUCUUUUUUUUUUUUGGGUCAGCAACUUGUGUAGAAUCUCAGUACUAUCCUGAUAUUACUUUGUCUUUGAACUUGUUACUGCAACAUUGUAGUCACUGAACUUUCUCAUAUGUUGCGAUUUUAUUCUCUUUUCGCAAAAAAAAAAAAGAAAAAAAAAAGAAAAAAAGAAUCGUGGUAUAUGUGGGAACAUAUUCUAAUAAUCCAACUAAUGCUUUAGAUUUUUUGUAAUAUCUAUUGUUUUUUCUUGUGGUUGUUGUAUUAGUAAUUUUAUGUGACAUUUUUGGUCAGUGUGCAUCAAUUACUUAAAUUUCUCAACAUCAUAAUGUUGAUACAUUAAUAAUAUAUAAGAGUAGUAUUUUUGAGAGAUAGGUAGCAUGCUAUCCACUUCCUUUAUUUUAUUUAGAAGUAAACUUAGCUAGAAAUGCGAAUCAACUAGGAUUCGAACUUGAGUCUCGGGUACCAACCACCAAGCCCUUUGUCACUUGCUCUAGUGACAGUUGGUCUCUACAUCAUAAUGUUGAUACAUUAAUAAUAUGAAGUUAUUCGUGUAUUGCGGCAGACUAAUGCUAUAUAAGAUAGAAGAUUGAUAAAAUAAAAAUUUUAAAAUUUUUUCACUAGCCAUGAGAUAUCAAUAAAUAAAGAUAAUAUAUUAAUAUAUACAGAUAGAAAAGAUGAAACAAAUAUAAAUACAGAUACAACAAAAUUUAUAAUUUUAACAAAUAAAUUAUAUAUUAUAAUAAUGAAAGAAACAGCAAUACAGUUACUACUCCAUCGCACCUUGAUCGCACUGUCGAUAUCGGGGAGGUGAAUCUCGAUCUCCACAUCGCGUUCGCCUCUAUUGUCGGCGUUAAGCUCCUCCUUGGUCAUGGCCACGUCUAUUCCGGACUGAUCCCCUCAAACCCACCACUUAUUUCUCCUCAUCGACUCCAAAUACUUUGCCGCUUCCUUGCUUCGUGUCACGUCGCGAUCCCCCGAACCCUAAUUUCAAUCUAUACACAAUUUAAAAAACAAGUUAAGAAAAUUACAAAAUAUUAACCUUUCUUGUGCCCCAAAAAAAAAGAAAAAAAAAUGUAAGGAAAAAGAGUAUAAAGAUAUUUUAUUUUACUCGUCUUUUUUUUGUGAAAGUGAAUUUCAAUCUCCCUGUCACCUUUGCUGCCAUUGUCGGCAUCGAGUUCCUCUUUGGUCACGGCCAUUGAUUCCAUACGGAUCCCCUACACCCAUCGCUUCUUCUCCUUCAUCGAUUCUAAAUCCAUCGCCGCUUCUCCUAGUCGUGUCGCGCCCGCGAAACGUUAAUUUCGAUCCUAACACAAUUUUUUAGAAAAAUUAAGAAAAUUAUAAAAUAUGAAUCCUUCUUGUGCGCCAAAGAAAAAAGAAAAAAGAAAAAAAAUGUAAAGAUAUCUUAUUUUACUUUUUUCUUGUAAAAGUGAUUUGUCUAGAUGACAAUGAACCAUAUGAAUACAUUAAUUGUGAGAUGGGCAGGUGGGAAGACGAAGCAUCGGACAAAGAUUGUGAGUGGGAAAGUGAAACAUCAGGAAGUGGGAUGGAGGAGAAGGCAAGGUGAAGGAAGAACCGUCACGUGGCAAAUUUUAUGAGAAAUAAUGUAAAGGAAUAAACAAAUUUUAUGAAAAAUAAUGUAUAUAUAUAGGUAUAGAACUAUAGAUUAGUCUUGGUUCAGAAUCCUCCUUUUCUUCUGAUUGAAGGGAAGGGUCUUCUUCGGCGGAUCUCUCUUGUUCCUGUUUUGUCUCCUUCAUUUUGGAGUUAAUAUAUAGCAGAUAGAUAUUUAAUAUCUUAUUGAACCGAUAAAAACUGCACCAUUAAAAUUUAAGGAAUAGCAAAUUGCAAUACGAAUAAUUAAAUACAAAUCAAAAUGCAAUUAAGCUAUAGAUUUAAUCAGCUUCAAUGUGUAAUUGCAAAGAUCUCUAGAAUUUUAUUCAAAGUGGUCCCCAUCAUCGUGCACUUGUAUAUGACAUAGGCAACAUCUCUAUCUAACCGUGUUUGGAAUCUAGUACUCACCCUGAUACUAGAUUUUAAAAAUCUGCAAUCCAUAUUGAUACCGACUGUCCUAAAUUCGGUACCAUUGUUGAAAUUUCGUAACAAAAGUAUUAAAUCGGAUUUUUACCAUAAACUCAGCAAAUAGCUGACACAAUCGAUCAUAAAAAAGAAAAAUUCAAACAGAAAAUAUGAAUAAAAUAAAAUUUACUAAAUAAAAAAUGAAUUAAACCUGAGCCCUAUUCUAUUGAGUAGUUUCACCGGGAUCACCCGUCUCUCGUUGUCUAUAAAAUAGAAGACUACUCUUUUUGAACUCUCUCUCUCUCUCUCCAACUUGGUACGACUUCAACUCUUUAGUGCUAUAUAUAUAUAUAAUACUUAACCAAAGAUAUAUCCAAAUCUAAUACAAUUAGGAAUCCUAGUCUAAUUAAAUUUUAAAUCUAAAUUAAUUUAUCUUCAAACGAUUAAAAUAUUUAUUCUAAUUCAACUAGGAAUAAAUUAUAAAUCUAACCCAACCCUAACAAACAGCUAAAAUUUUUUGGGUUGGGCUUGAGCCUUUGAACAUCCACGACUCCAUGCUCUCUCUAGCUUCUCCCGGGAUGAAGCCUAAGUUGAUGAGAUUGAGGGGUUAAUUUGACCAAGCUAAUAGUGAUGAUGGUUAUAAAACUAAUAUACAAGGCCUAUAACAUUUCCUCUUCAAUUUUAAAUAAAUUGCUUUACUUCGUGAAUUAUGUCAUGUAUAUAAUUUUUUAUUAUAGGUAAACUCCAAAUUAGCAAAUAAGCUUUUUCUAGAAUGCCUUUUCUUUCGCAUUUGACGAGGUACUCAUCUAUUAAAAAGAUGACAAAUACAGUGUCAACAAAAAAAAUAACGCAAAGCGUCCAAUGGUGGCUGUGGUAGCAGGUUACAGAACGAGGUGGCGAUGGAGGUGGGCAGCAGCGGCAUGCAGUUUCACCACCGUAGAUAUCAAAAAAGAGCCUAGGUCUCUGUGGCGGGGAUGCGGUUCUUUCUCAAUGGUAUAGUGCAUUCUUCAUCUUUUUUUUUGUUUUAGUGUUAUUUGAUUUUAUGCCGUGAGUAAUUAUUUAGUAUUAAUAUUUUAUUUUUAAAAUUUUUUUUGAACUAUUUGGGAUUCAAUUCGUACCAUUUUUUUACCUUUGUUUUAUGUCUUUUUCUUUUAUUUUCUGUUAGAUUAAAUUUUGUGGAGUAAACUAUAUGGAUAAGUCGCUACAUUAUUUGGAUAUUACAACAAAUGUGUCAUUACCAAUAAGAUAAACUGCAUUCUGAUUAGGUUUUAGAAACUUCAUCGAAAUCAAAAAAUUCAAUAACGUAUCCAAAAUUUUGAAAAAAUAAUUCUCAAAAUGUAGUUAUAUAUUGAUGUUUUUUCUUUACAUUUUUAUUUGUUUAUUUAAUUCGCAAAUUUUAAUAUGAUAAUUUCGUCUUUGUUUCUUUAUGUAAUUUACAAAUUUUUACUAUAAUAAUUUCUAUCCGCUGCAUCGCGCGGGUCUCUACACUAGUUAUUAAUUAAUUAUUAAUUAACACUGCAAUUUUUGACAAAUCUAAAUAGAAUUAAAAAACAAAAAUUCAGUGAAACUUAUUUUAAAGGGUUAAUUUCAUACAGAUCCCUACAAACAUAGUGAAUGACAAAUAUAUUCCUACAAAAUUCAACUUUCAUAUUUGUUCAUGCAAAAGUCCUAAUAUUUUCAAAUUUGUUUCUCUGAUUUAUUACCGUUAGAAAACUAUUUAUAUUUCUAAUUUUGCCAUCACAAAUAUAUACAUCUAAAAGUCAUAACAGUAUGAGUGCGGCUGGUAUGCUUCUUGAAGCACGGAGCGCUCCGUGCUUCCAAGUCAUUUUCGAUGUUGGGACUUUCGAAUCAACGAUCAGUUCCGUUAGAUUUGAUUUAGAGUAUUUUAAGUAUUUAGAAAAUAAUUUUUGCGAUUUUUUGAUAUCAUUUGCCUAGUGAUCGAAGUGGUUCAAAAUCAACGGCUGAAAAUAAAAAUAUUGAUCUUGUUUUAUAUAGUAUAAAGAAAUUUCUAUCAAAAUUUCACGUGAUUUGAAUAUUUCUACACCGUUAAACUUGCAAAUGGCUCAACGCGGCCAUUAAAAUUAUUAAUUUUGAGCCCCUUGAUUACUAGGCAAAUGAUAUCGAAAAAUCACAAAAUUUAUUUUCUUGGUACUUCAAAUACUCUAGAUCAAGUUUAACGGAGCCGAUCGUCGAUUUGAAAGUCCCAACAUCGAAAACGACUUGGAAGCACGGAAGGCUCCGUGCUUCCAGAAGCAUACCAACUAACUCUAACAGUAUAAUAUAAAAAGAUAAAAAUGUCAAAAACUAUUCAGGAUUAAGUAUUUAACCUAUGAUUUACUAAUUUUUUCUAAUUGAUUCUAACGGCAGCGAUAUAUUUUAAAACAUCGGGACUUUUGUAGAGACAAAAUAUGAAUGUUGAAUUUUGUAGGGAUAUAUAUAUAUUUGCCAUUCACUAUAUUUGUAAGGGUCUGUACGAAAUUAACCCUAUUUUAAAAUAAUAAAAUUUAUUUGCAUUUUCUUUUAUUAAUUGUUCAACAAGUGAUUAAAAAUCACUUUUACUGUGCUUACUUUUUCUAAUUUUUCUAAAACUACAGUUUUAUUUUGUUAGGAGAAAAUAUCAUAAGAGAGGGAUAAAAUGUUUGGUCCAGUAAAAUAAUAUGAAAUAAUUAUUACACAGUGGUCCCCAAUCUUUGCACCAAUUUUUACCUCGGUCCCAACUUUUUUUUUUUUACAAUUGAUUCCUAAUCUUUUGAUUUUAUUACAAUUACGUCCCAAUCGUUAAAAAAAUUGUUAAAAUUAAUUGAAUCGCCACGUUAGCGCUUAUUUGAUAUCCUUAAUUUUCAUGUUAAUUUAAGUCCCUAAACUUUACAUGUUUUUCACUUUAGUUUCUAAAAAUAAAAAUUCAAAAUUUUAAAUUUAAAUUUAAAAAUAAUACUAAAAUUAAAAUUUUAAACUAACAAAAAAUUAGAAUUUUGAAUUUGAAUUUAAAGCUGAAUUUAAAUUUUGAAUUUAAAUUCGCAUUUUAAAUUUAAAUUUUUAAUUGAAUCUAAAUUUUGAAUUCAAACUUAAAAUUUUGAUUUUGAUUUUGAUAUUUCAAUUUACACUUAAAAUGAAAGUUUUGAAACUGAAAUUUAAAUUUAAAAUCUGAAUUUAAAUUUAAAAUCAUAUUCAAAAUUUUGAUUUUAAAUUUUAAAUUUGAAUUUAAGAUUUGAUUUCAAUUCUAAAUGUGAAUUUAAACUUCGAAUUCAAAUUCACAUUUUGAAUUUGAAAUUUCAAAUCGAAGGUUGAAAUUAAAUUAGAAUUUCGAAUUCGAAAUGUGAAUUUGAAUUUAAAAAUAAAAAAUUUAAAAUUAAAUACAAAAUUGGAUUUCGAAUUCCAAUUUAAAUUUGAAUCCAAAAUCAAAUUUUAAAAUUUAAAUUUAAAAUCUUAAAUUAAAAAUCUUGCUUUGAAUUUAUAAAUUUAAUAGGUUAAUUACACCAUUGGUUCCCAACCUUUGUACCGUUUUUUAAUUUGGUCCCCAAUCUUUUUUUUUUUUACAAUCCAUUGACACAACGCCACCAUGGCACUGACGCGGCAACUCUGUGGCGCUGACAUAACGCCUCCGUGGCACUUAUAUAUAUGGUGCUGACGUUGUAUUUUUCGUCAAUUUUAACAUCUAUUUAACGGCUGAGACUUAAUUAUAAUGAAAUCAAGAGAUUUAGGAUUUGAUUGCAAAAAAAAAAAAAAAUUGGGACCAAAUUAAAAAACGGUGUAAAGAUUAGGGGCCAAUGGUGUUAUUAACCCAAUAAAUUAUUUUGUCUCGAAAAAUUUAAAUCAUGUUAAACAAUUUUACUAAUAUUUGAGUUUGUGAGUUUGAGACUUUUUAAUAGAAUCUAAAAUGUAGGUGUGAAUUAAAUAAAAUAAUUAAAUAAAGCUAGGAGAGGCUUUUUAAUAGAAUCUAAAAUGUAGAUUUGAAUUAAAUAAAAUAAUUAAAUAAAGCUAGGAGAGGCUUUUUAAUAGAAUCUAAAAUGUAGAUUUGAAUUAAAUAAAAUAAUUAAAUAAAAUUAAGUGUGUAAUAGGAUUUAAAGUCCGAACUCAGAAUAUAAUAAAUAGCUGACCAUAUUCUCUCCUUAGGUCUAGGAAUGUCAAUGGGUAUGGAUAUCCAAAAUUUUAUCCGAACCCGAACUCGAAUAAAAUGGAUAUAUCCGAUGAAUAUGGAUAUAGAUUCGGAUAUGGAUAUCAAAAAUAGAAAUCCGGCGGAUAUGGAUUCGGAUAUGGAUUCUUACUAUACCCGACCUGAACCUGAACCCGAAAUUAUUUUGUAUUAUAUAUAUAUAUAUAGAGAAUUAGACUGGAAUACUAUUNAAAUAUAACAUCAAAUAUAUAUAUAUAUAUAUAUAUAUAUAUAUAUAUAUAUAUAUAUAUAUAUAUAACACCCGAAUAAAUGGAUUCGGAUAUGAAUAUAAAAAAUAGAAACCCGACGGAUAUAGAUUCGGAUAUGGAUUUUGAUUGUACCCGAUCCGAACCCGAACCCGAUUCGAAUCCGAAUUUAUUAUAUAUAUAUAUAUAUAUAUAUAUAUAUAUAUAUAUAUAUAUAUAUAUUUGAUGUUAUAUUUGAAUUUGUAUUUAAAAAAUUUAGAUUUAAUAUAAUAUAUUUUGAAAUAUUGAAAACAAAAAUAAUUGUUUCGGAUUCAAAUUUUCGGGUUCGGGUUUGAGUUCGGAUUCGGAUUUCGGGUUUUGGUCGGGUUCGGUUUUGAAUAUGGAUUUUUAAAAUCCGUCGGAUUCGGAUUCGAGUUCGGGUUUCGGGUUUGGAGUCCGGUUUGGAUAACCCGAAAUUAUUUUGUAUUAUAUAUAUAUAUAUAGAGAAUUAGACUGGAAUACUAUUAAUAGUAAAACGCUCUCUUUACUAUCAAGUUUUUAACCCUUGGAUGAAAAAUUGUAGGGUCAGGAUAAUAUUAGUCGGUUAGAGUUGAGUGGUCCCCCUAGGGUUGAGUGGUCCCCAUUGGGUUAUAAUAUUUAACCCAAUGAUUAAAAAUAAUGAAAAGAGUUGAUCCAAAGGUUAAAAACUGGUAGCAACAAUGAAAUUUUGCUACUAAUAGUAGCCCAGUCCAACUAUAUAUAUAUAUAUAUAUAUAUAUUUGAUGUUAUAUUUGAAUUUGUAUUUUAAAAAUUUAGAUUUAAUAUAAUAUAUUUUGAAAUAUUGAAAACAAAAAUAAUUGUUUCGGAUUCAAAUUUUCAGGUUCGGGUUCGGGUUCGGAUUCGGAUUUCGGGUUUUGAUCGGGUUCAGUUUUGAAUAUGAAUUUUUAAAAUCCGUCGGAUUCAAAUUUGAGUUCGGGUCUCGGGUUUGGAGUCAGGUUCGGAUUCGAAUUUUUAAAAAUUCGUCCGGAAUCCGACCCGUUGACGUAUCUACAUAGGUCCAACCCACCACCGACGCCGGAAUUAGCACGUGGUACGUAACGUACGUUAACUAUAUAAACUAAUAUAUUAAAAUAGUUAAAUUAAUUAUUUAAUAAAUAGAGAUAUUUGAAUAGUCUUUUGGUAAAUAGAGAUAGUACUAGCUAAGGGCCGCGUAUCACGGCGAGGAGAAAAUACUUCAGUUAUUUUUUUAAAAUAUAUUAUUUUAUGAGUAUAUAAAAAAAUAUAAUAGUAUACUAAAUAGAAAAUAUACUUCCACAAGUCAGAUAUAAUAUUUCGCAUUAACUUUAUAUAAAACACAUUCAUUUCAAAAAUUUUACAAUAUUAAAUAAAAUGAAAAUUAUAUUAAUUUUUUUUAGUAAUUUUUAUUAAUUAUAGAUUGUAUUUAUUAGAUGAAAUUUUAAUUUUGUUAUAUUGUCUAUUAAAAAAUAGAAUUCAUCCAUACGAUAAUUAUUUAAAAAAAAGAUUUGGUUCAUAUUUUAUUUAUUAAAAAAUAAGGUUGAUCUGUACGAUAAUUGUUUAAGCAAAAGGUUUGGUUCAUAUCUUAUAAAUUUUUUAUUAAGUAUACUAUUAAAAAAUACGAUUGGUUCAUACGAUAAAAUUUUACACUUGGACUAGACAAAAACAUUUAUUAAUAAUAGAUUGUAUUUAUUAAAUGAAAUUUUAAUUUUGUUAUAUUGGUUAUUAAAAAAUAGGAUUGGUAUGUGCAAUAAUUAUUUAAAAAGAAGAUUUGGUUCAUGUCUUAUACUAUUAAAAAUAGGGUUGAUUCAUGCGAUAAUUAUUUAAAAAAAGGGUUUGUUUCAUGUCUUAUACACUUGGUGUACAAUUUUUUUUACACCAUAUAUAAAAAUCUAUUAAUUUUUGUAUAUAAAUUUUUUAUUGAACUAGCUAGGUUGAAAUACUAUUAAUAACACCAAACUAUUUGUGCUAUUAGUUUUUUAGCUCAUAGAUUGAGAAACAUGCGGUUAGGAUAAUAUGGGCCCUUUAGGUUUGAGUGGGUGGUUGUUGAACAGUAUAAUCUAACGGGUAAAAAUAAUCAAAGGAUUAAAUCUAACGGUGGAAAACUCGAUAGCACCAAAUCCUCGGUGCUAUCAAAAAUAUCCCAACCGGACUCUUUUUUAUUAAUUAUAUUAUUAAAAAUUAAAGUUGGUUCAUGCGAUAAAAUUUUACACUUAGUAUAGACAAAAAUAAAAAAGAAAAAGUGUUGCGAGAAAAAAAAAAAUUUAAAAAAAAGUGUAGGUGUGUGAGAGAAUUCAAACUUUUUAUGGAAAUUACAACAAAUAUGUGAGCUUGUAAUUUCCAAACUUGAUGUAUAAAUACAUCAAAUUCGCUUGUUUUGUCAUUCGAUAGAAUACUGUUUCGUUUCGUCAAAUAAUAAAUUUCGUGUUUUUGGUGCGCACAUAUGUUCUAAAAAUAUUUACCCAGCACUUUGGUUAUUUUUAUAUUAACAAUCAUAGCGGCAAAUAGCAUAACAGAUCAAUUUGAUAUUAUUGAAUAUAUGUUAAUAAAACACGGUUUUCUAAUAGCUAAAAUUUGUAGAAAUAAAAUUUUCUUUUCCACACGGGUGUUCUCGAUCUAAUAGCUAACAUUUUUAAAGAUAUAUGUUAAUAAAACAUGGUUCUCUAAUAGUUAAAUUUUUAGAGAUAGAAUUUUUCUUUCACAAUGUUUAAAAUAGUGUCAAAUAUGUAAGGCCAAUUAAAAAAUCUCGACUACAGACAUUAUAUAAUUAGCUGUGUACUUUUAGUUAACCACUAACUUUCAUUAAUUAUUCUCAUACACACUUGUUAAGAGUUCAUAUGUGAAUAGUCCGACAUCGAAUAGUUAUUAGAGAGCAAAAUAUUUUAUAUCUAUAUAUUAGUAAAUCUAAAUUUAAUAGACUUAAGCUUUUAGUCACAUCCCUCGUGUUUGGGAUGGGCAGAAGUUUAUAAUAACAUGUGUGAACCACAUAGCAGUAAAUUUAUUAUUUUUGGUGAAAUUUAUUUUAACGUUUACUGUAUUUAGUUAUAAUAAAUUAUCUCUUAUAGAGUUCAUAGAAAAUUCAGAUUCAAAAAAUUAUUGAGAGGGUUAAAUGACCAUCAUACCUAUAUAUAUUAGCGUUUGCUUAAUCAUGCAUUUAAGGACAAUAUGAAGAUAAAAUAAAUGUAAUUGCUUCUAAAAGUGGAAAGAAAAAAUAGCAAUAAUAGAUUGGGAGUCGUACAAUAUAGAAAUAGUAUAAGAGACCAUUUAAUAGGUUGGGGUUCGAUCUCCCACCAAUGCAUUUAUAAAAGAGGAUGUUUGGAAAAAAUAUAUGUGAAUACUUUAGGAGGUUUUGGAGUGGGGCCUACUGGCUCUAAUAAAACCAUCAAAAUUACACAUAGUUUACUGAUUUCUUCAAAAGAUUAAGGGAUGCGAAUCUGAGUUCCAAUUUAACAAGAACUCUCGAAUACAAGUUUUUACGAUAGAAAUUGACAGAUUAAAUUAUAAAAAGCCCUCAUCCAAAACCAGGCAAAUAUACACGUAAUUAACUACACCUGGGCAUCAUGAUCAUAUAUAAAAGAACUUAGAAAAUUAAGUAAAAAUAACAUUGCUCACAUCCAAUUAUACACCAAGAGAUUAAUUAACUGAAGACAUACAGAAAAUACAAUUCAGCAUCUACUGAUCAAAUCAUUUCAUUGCAUUAUUAUAUUAUUAGUUGCACCGGGGUAUACAUUACAUCAGUCUCCAUCAAGAAAUUAAUGAAUCUUAAUUGAAUAACAAAGCAGAGAAACUAUUAUCAUACCUAGCUCCGUUAAUAAUCCCCCCAAUUACAUUAAUUGAACCCAGGAUUAGACUUCAUAAAAAAUUAAGGGGCGAACUAAUUAUUAUUAUUACUAUAAACAGAAAUGAGAUCGAGUACGUAGAGCAGGAACGAUCAGUCUCACGAAUCUCGCAGCAACAGCAAUGCUUCCGCGGCCAGCAGUUCAUCGGCAUCAAACUUAUCGUCAUCGUGGUCUUCGCGUACUUCGUCACCCUUCUUGCGGCUCAACAGGGCCAUGCCGAGGCCGCCGCAGCACCGGAACGCCCAGAUGUCGACGCGGUCGCCCGCGCGCAACCCGUUGCGUUUCACGAAGCGGCCCCAGCUGCCGAUGAGGCGGAAGUCGCCAUUGGAGUCGAGGAAUUUGAACGUCAUGGCGUGCUCCCGCCCCAGUCGGUCGAACACCCUCACGGGGAGGCCGCGCUCGCGGUCGACGACGAGCGCGGCCUCGUCAGACGUGACCAGGUCCCGCAGCGACGUCGUGGCCGUCACCUGUUUGUGGGUCAGCAGCAGGCGGCUCUGCUGGCUGCUGACGUCCGACCCCGACAGCUCCUUCUGCAGUAUCCACGUCGGCUGGCUCACCCCCUCCCGCAGCAGCGCCGACAGAAUUCCGACGCACCGCGACGGCUUUGGCGCACCGCCGCUGCCUGCAGGACGAUUGUUGGGCCGCGGGCUGCGUUUCUUGGCGGGGAUGAUCGGAGAAGCCGCAGCGGUGCUGACGGCAUCAGCUGGGGGGUCUCUCCUCGGCUUCUUCCUCACCGGUGGUUGCACGGAGUGCCCCAGCUCAUGAUCUUGCGCGUUCUCGAGAUCCGGCGGCUCGGAUCGAUCGGGAGCGUCGGCGCGGUUUCGCUUCGUCUCCUUGAAGAUGGCCAUUGAUGGUUUCUUGAAGCUUCGAUCGGCCGGGAGCUCUUCCGGAUGAUCAAGAAGCUGCUGCGUACGUGAUCGGGGGGAGAGAGAGAGAGAGAGUUGUAAGUGGUUACGCACGUCGCGUAGCAUAAAGUAUAUAAGACAUGCAUAUAGAUACGUACAUACGUAGCGCAAUUCCUAAUUCUACUCGAAUCAUGAUUAAUCUUACCGUUGAUGAAUAUUCUUACCGUUAAUGAUUGUGAUAACUCGUGUUGGUAACUUCGAGUCGAAGGCGAUCGUGCGUUCACCAAAUACGCCCCGGGAUCGAUGCUGAGAUUUGAGACUUCAGAGCCGUUGGAUCAGGUUCAUAAUGCAUUGUUUUUUUCAAAAAAACGAAAAAGGAAAAAAAUCGCUGAGACACGGGAAGUCAAUUGAGUUUAUUUUUUUUAGUUUUUUUAUAUAUACGCAUAUUAAUUUAUGACCACACCUAGAAUUUGAUUAUUAAUGCUAAUUCAAUAGAAAUAAGUUUAAAAUCAAGAUAUUAAUUAAUUUUUAAAAUCAAUAGUAGAGAAAAUUUUAUUUAUUGAUUCAUAAAAAUAAGAGGAAGUGACAAAGACUUUGAUAAUUAAUACCCGAGACUAAGUUCGAAUUCUAAUUGAUUCACAUUUCUAGUUAAGUUUAUUUCUAAAUGAAAUAAACGAAGCGGGUAGCGUGCUAUCUAUCUCUCAAAACAAAACAAAAUUGUGCGCGCUACAAUAUUGCUAAGGCAGAACGUUUCAUCGAUCCUACUUAAUAAAAGUUACUAUUAAAAGGACCGACCAAUUUAAACAUUAAAAAAACUUAAGGAUAUAAUUGUAACAAAUUUAAACUUAUUUAAAAUUUAUCGCAUAAAAAUCAAAAUCACACCCAUUUAUUUAUUUAUUUAUUUAUUUGUUUGUUUUUUGUAAAACAAGAUAACUGCUAAGAUCGCACUGUUAACUAACUUCACACGCGCGCAAUCAGAGUCACCAAUCUCCUUCAAUUCCAGCCUCUUAUCUAACUUGUCGCAAGUAUAAAUAUCACAAUUGUUAUAAUCGGCACAACAAAUAAUAGAUUUAGAAAAAUAAUUAAUACAGAAAAAAAAAAAAACACAUCGAAAUUUAUAUGAUUCAGCUAUGGAUAAAGACAGGAGCAAAAUUUUUUAUUAAUAUCAAAGGUGGAGUGCAAAAAUUAAAUCUAUGACAAAAUUUAAAUUUUCAAACACCUAAUUUUGCAUGCCGAUCUAGACUCCGAAGUAGCUCGGCUCGCGAACGGACACAACUUGGGCUCGGCUCUCUCCAACAGUGCACUGCUUGGUGAUCGGUAUUGCUGCGUCUGUACGACGACCAACAAAAAAAAAAAAAAGAAAAAAAGAAAAAAGUUAAUUAGCUUUAUGUAAUUGGAGCCGCUCUAAAAGCAACAUACGCCAUCUCCCCCCUAUCCGUUUACUUAAUUAAUUAGCAUGGGGCCUAAUUAGCGAUGCGGCUUCCCUAACAUGACGGUGGUAUAUAUAUGCAUAUAUAAUGUAUAGCUCCAAAUUAGAGUAUAAUUCUAAUUACAAUUUAGUUAGAUUCCUAUUUAUACUCUCUAUAGGUCAAGUAAAAUUUAAAUUAUAUCUUAUUCUAAUUAGAUUAGAAUUUUAUUUUAAUUUAUAUAACUAUAAAUUUAAACCAAAAUUAUAACAACAAUUGUCUGUAAAAAAGUUUGAAAAUAUUUUAUUAAAAGCCUUUAAUGGUGUUAAGGCAAUCUCACCGUUGACGAGGCCCAGCGAUCUAAGUUUGUGGCAGCCCUGCCGGUGACCGCGUGCAACAAAGACCCCGUCUGCACCCUGCAAAAGUGGGUUUCGAUCAGCGACACGAGCGGCCACCACCACCACUGCUUCUUGCGCCCGUGCGACGCGUUGACGGGUGCGAAGCAGCUGGAAAGGAAGCACCUGCACCUGAUCAUGUUGGAAAUCAUGCGGUUCGUCGGCGAGAACCGGAUGCGCGAGGCCCAGGUAUUCGAGCCGUGGGCGUACCGCGAAGUCGAGAAGCUCAAGCUGGGCGUGUUGAACUGCAACGCGCCUCGGCCUAAUCCUGCAUUCUGCAACCACUGCUGCUGAUCGACAGGAGUCGUCCGCGGGGGCGCAAGACGUGAAUGUUUUUGAUGCUCCAGCUUUGGUUGUGCGCAACAUCCUGAAGCAGCGCGACCGCAUCUUCGCCCUUACGAGCCGAAACUGGUUCCGUUCGAUUAUGUUACAGAGGCUACAAUGUUGUUGUUGUUGUUGUUGUCCGUGAUUUUGAUUCACAAAUUCAAUUGAACAAGAAAGAAUUGAGAGUGCGUAGGCUGUAUACGUACGUCCCCAUCUGUGCUUUAAAAUAGAUUUUGUAAAUUACAAUAGAGACUCUUAAAUUGGGAGAGUAGUUGGAUUACAAUAUGCAAUGGGUUGUAGAGUCAACAGUUUUUUUUUUUUUUUUUUGUUUACUUUAUUUUUAUUUUUUUUAUUCGAGACUGAAUUGUCUUAAUUUUUGUAGUUGAAUUUAAUUCAACUACAAAAAUUAAGACAAUUCAGUCUCGAAUAAAAAAAAUAAAAAUAAAGUAAACAAAAAAUAAAAGACAAAACUUAGAAAACUAAAGUAAAAUAAGUAAAUAAAAUUUAAAAAAAGUGAAACUAAAAAAAGUUCACUUAAUUAGAUAUAGUUGCGGAACUUAGUUCACUUCUUUCUAAGUCUCAAACUCGUCCAACCAUGAUUAAAGAAUCUGAAGAUUGAUUCUUAAAAAUCACGUUAUCUCUUUCACGCCAAAUCAGCUGCUAACAGAUUGUAUUCUUUGAUAUGAUCUUUCGCUAAUACCCUUUGUUAGCGAUUGUCAAACAGAAACUCUUAGACACCCCUGGCCUCCACCAUUGAUUUCGAGAUAUGUCUAUCGUUAAGUAUGCUGAACAUCAGAAAUUUACUGAAUACGUAUCCCACGAAUAGAUAAUCACAGUCUCAGAUUCAGCGUCACACAAAAUAUUAUGUAGAUUUCCGAACGAGCCUUUUUUAAGUAGAUUAUCAACCGUUGAUAAAUACUUCCUAAUAACUAGCCAAAUAAAAACUCUAUAUAUAUAUAAAAUUGAGCGUAAUAUAAAAAAUAGAGCUUAAUAUACAAGCUCCAAUUAAUAAUCUUUAAAUACAAAAAAUUUAAACAAAUAAACGAAUUUGAUCUUCGAUCGUCUUUCUAUUUACAUCUUCUUUUAUAUUCUUUUAUGAACAAUUCCCUCACAAGCCAUAGAUGCAAGCAUGCAUCAAGUGCGAAAGCACGCGACGAAGCGCUGAAGGUGGCUGCGCUGGCAUCGCCGAUUCGUACGCCGAUGCUCUUCCCUGGCGGCAGCGUCGCGGUCGAUGACACUUUCGAUACACCGAAAGUAGUCGACGCGACACGGAAUAACGAUUGCGCCCGUCUGGUGGAACCCGAACUCCGCCUCGGCCGCGUCGAGCAUGGCCGCGAAGAGCGGGUGCUCAAGGUGCCCCACCGGCACCACGAACCUCUGCCGCCUCUCCCCCUCGGCCCCGACCCUCACCGCGACGUGUCCCUUCGGCGGCAGCGGCGAUUUCUUUGAGGACCAGGGCCAGUGAAGGUGCAAGUUCUUCCAUGAAUGGCGUUGCUGCAGCCUCUCUUUGCUGAUGCUGUCCAUGCCAAAAAACAUGAAAACCAAGAGCGCAAAUUAAAGAAGCUACAAAUCAAGAGGGAGCUUUUGAGUGAAAGAGAGUUGCAAAAAGGAUCUGGUAUUAGCUGGGAGAGGGGGUGUAUAUAUAUAUAAGAAAUGAUAAUAAUAAUAAUAAUAAAGCUAGUUAGAGUCUAGUUUGAAUUGGAGUCGGCGUUGAAGAUGAUUUUGCUUGGUCAAAUUAAUAAUUAAGUACGACACGUUUUCUUUUUUUUCUUUUUUUUCUUUUUUUGGCCCUUUGUGAAUUAAUUAUUAUUAAUUAAUUUGAUCCAUAUAUAUAAUUGGUCUACGUACGGAGCUAGUUUUAUUAACCGUUAAUUAACUUUGCUAUUUUUGUUGCGCUCUCCGCUUUGAAACAAAUCUAAAUAGAAUUAAAUAACAAAAAUUCGGUGAAACUUAUUUUAAAAUAAUAAAAUUUAUUUACAUUUCCUUUUAUUAAUUGUUCAACAACUGAUUAAAAAUAACUUUUACUGUGCUUACUUUUUUUAAUUUUUCUAAAACUAUAGUUUUAUUUUGUCAGGAGGAGAGAUCAUGCAUGAGAGAGGGAUAAGGAGAGGGAUAAGAAGUUCGGUCAUGCAAAAAAAUGUGAAAUAAUUAAUUUAUUUCAAAAAAUUUAAGUCAUGUUCAGAAUUUUGCUAAUAUCUAGACUCGAGAUUUUUUAAUAAGACCUAAGUUAUAGAUUUAAAUUAAAUAAAAAAAUUAAAUAAAACUAGGAGUGUGAUAUAUAAAAUCUACACUUAGAAUUCCGAACGCAAAAAUUAAUUAAUAAUAAGCUCUAAAUUAAAGUAGACAAUUUUUUAUAAACAAUCAUGCUCAUAAUAAUGGGCUGACCAUAUCUCUCGAGAGUCCAACCCACAGACUGCCCGAAGUAGCACGUGGUAUUUAACUAUAUAAACUAAUAUAUUAAAAUAGUUAAAAUAAUUUUUUAAUAAAUAGAAAUAUUUGAAUAAUCUUUUGGUAAAUAGAGAUAAUGCUAGUGUAGAAACUCGCGCGAUGCAGCGGGUAAAUAAUAGAAGCAAAAUUUUAAAAUUUUAAUAAAAUUUAUAUUUACAGUUUAUUGAUGUAUAGAAAGCUAUACCAUGUUAAGUACAGUCAAUUUGCUUGACCAAAUUCAACUGUUAAAAAAAAAUUAUAGUUAGAAGUUUAUAUAAAUUUUUUAAAAUCAUCAAAAUACAGUAAGAGACAUACAAUUUUAUCAUAUUAUAUGCCUCUUGAACAUUCCGUUGUGAAAAAUUAAAAAGAGAUAGCUCCAAUGCAGCUGAAUCAACCCAACAGGCACUUAUAUGGGCUGCGACUGGAUUUUGCGGGACGAUACUUUUCAAAGAAGACAACGUUCUUUGCAUAUUCUUUUUCUUCAUCAUCAUCAUCCUCAUCAUUCUUAUUAAGACAAUGAGAGAGAGAGCUAGAUGAGUGUAGGGAGGGAGAUUAGAUAAUAUUUUUUUUUGCAUGAAAAAUAACAUACCAUGCAAAAAGAGAGGGGGCCGGGGGGAUUAAUAGAGGUGGGGAGUGGAUUGGAGUUACAAAACCCACUCAUUGAUGAAAUAUGAUGUAUAUAAUUAAAUGGUGCAUUUUGGAUUAAUUAAUUCUUGUGAUUUCAAAGGAAUGAGAGGUUUGAGGAAGAAGAAAAAAAAAAAAACAUAUAAAUUACAAGAAAACAUAUUAUUGGUGGCAAAAAUAAUGUGGCGAUAAAUUUUGUCGCCACUAUAUAGUUACUUUUUGUGGCGAUAAAAAAAAUUGCCACCGAUUAGUUAACUAAAAGUGGCAAUGCUACUUUCGCCACUAAAUGAUUAUUUUAUCGCCACUAUUUAGUUAUUUACGGUAGCGACAAAAAGAAUGGCCAUCGAUUAACUAACUUAAAGUGGCGACACUACUUUCGCCACUAAAUAANUAAAUAAUUAUUUUAUCGCCACUAUUUAGUUAUUUACGGUGGCGACAAAAAGAAUGGCCAUCGAUUAACUAACUUAAAGUGGCGAUACUACUUUCGCCACUAAAUAAUUAUUUUAUUGCCACUAAAUCGGUAUUUAUGAUGGCGAUAAAAAAUAUUGCCACUAAUUAAUUAACUUAAAGUGGCAAUAUUACUUUCGCCACUAAAUGAUUAUUUUAUCGCCAUUAUUUGGUUACCUAUAGUGGCAAAAAAAUUUUUUGCCACCAAUUAAUUAACUUUAAGUGGCGAUAAAAAAAUUUGCCAUCAAUUAAUUAACUUUAAGUGGCAAUAUUACUUUCGCCACUAAAUGAUUAUUUUAUCUUCAUUAUUUGGUUACCUAUAGUGGCGAUAAAAAAUUUUUGCCACCAAUUAAUUAUCUUUAAGUGGCAAUACUACUUUCGCCACUAAAUGAUUAUUUUAUCGCCAUUAUUUGGUUACCUAUAGUGGCGAUAAAAAAUUUUGCCACCAAUUAAUUAACUUUAAGUGGCAAUACUACUUUCGCCACUAAAUGAUUAUUUUAUCACCAUUAUUUGGUUAUCUAUAGUGGCGAUAAAAAAAAUUUUGUCACCAAUUAAAUAACUUUAAGUGGCGAUAAAAAAUUUUUGCCACCAAUUAACUAACUUUAAGUGGCAAUACUACUUUCGCCACCAAAUGAUUAUUUUAUCGCCAUUAUUUGGUUACCUAUAGUGGCGAUAAAAAAAAUUUUAAGUAGCGAUAGAAAAAUUUUGCCACCAAUUAAUUAACUUUAAGUGGCAAUACUAUUUUCGCCACUAAAUGAAUAAUUUUUUACCACUAUUUGGUUAGCGAUAGUGAUGAUAAAAAAUUGGUGCAUAUUAAUAAUAAAAUUAAAUAAAAAUAAAAUAUUUAAAACGUUUAUAUCAAAAUAAUGUAUAGUGAAUGUGAAAAAACUGUAGUUGUUAAAAAUUGAGGGUGAGAAUGUACAGAGACACAUUCAACUUCAGAUCAUUUUGAAAUUACUUUAUGAAUUUUAAUUUUAUUUUGAUUCACAUCUCUGAACUUUUUUUAAUUAUUUUAUUCUAGUUAAUUUAGUUAAAUUUUUAAAUUCAAGAGCUUUAUUAAUUAGUGUUUACCUAUUAAUUAUUUUCAUUUAUUUUUUAAAAUUUAAUUAAAUUUAACUUUAAUUAAUUAAUUAAUUAAUUAAUUACAAAUUAUUAAUUAAAUUAAAUUUUAAAUUUUAAAUUUUAAAAAUUAAUUUAUUAAAUUUAAAAAUUAAAUUAAAUUAUUUAAAAUUUAAUUAAAAUGACUAAAUUUUAAUCAAAUUUAGUAUCCAAACAAAAAUUAUAUGGUGUAUAAAAUAAUUAUGCGGGCCGGUCCUCGUUUCUCUAUCUCUAACGUGAAUACGAGAUAUGGUUCUCUGGACCCCGUUCGCCACGUCACUCACCAGGUGGUAGUGAGUAGUGGCUAGUGAGAUGAUGCAACUAAUUUUUAUUGGAGGGUGGUCAAAAGUAACACUAAUAUUUUCUACAAUAGAAAAUGUAUAAAUUUUUGUCUCACACACUGCCACGCUUCCUUUUUUAGAGCUUUCAAAAUUUUUAAGUUUAUUUUAGAGAUUUAAUAUAUGAUUAAAAUAAAAUUUUAAAUUCAUUUAAUUAGAGCCUCAAACGCUCACACUCUCCCUUUACCUAAACCUCACACUCUCCCCACGCUUACCCCCUUCUCCUCGGCGAGCUCCUCGCCGGCGAGGCCCCUUCUCCUCGGCGAGCUCCUCACCGGUGAGUCCUCGAUGGCGAGCUCAUAGGCAACGAGCAACUCCCCGCCAAUCCCUUUUACGACGAGCCCUUUAGCACGGAUCUCCUCGCCGUUGAUCUCCUCUUUGUCGUUCUCCUUGCGGGUGAGUCCUUCGCCGCAGAUCUCCUCGCCGCCAAGAUUCUCAUUGCCGAUCUCCUCUCUGACGAGCUCUCCACGGUCCCGAUUUCUAAUCGAAGAAAAAUCUGUAAAAAAAAAGGUCAGAAAAGCUAAAUUUGGUUGUGAAUUUUGAUUUCUUUUUAAAUUUGGUUGUGUAUAUAGUGCGAGAUGGUGAAUUUUGAUGUUUGUUCUUGUAGGUUCUUUUUGUUUGUUUAAUUGUUCUGUUUCUAUUAACUGUUUCUAUUAAAAAGCUCAAUGAUGCUAAGAAUCUGCUUUUCAUGAGCUCACUGGUCCAUGAUAUAGUCUUAUUUGCAUGCUUAUCUGAAUAGUUUGUUGCAUUCACUAUGAGCUCUGGUCUCUCAAAUUGUUCUUGUGAUUUCUCGGAAAUUGUAGUUUGAACUAUGUUUAAUUAAUAAUCAGCAGGAAAGGCAAAAUAUCAGAAACUAAAACCAACUCACCCUUGAGUAUCACUAGCUGCAGUAAUUAGAUUAACAUACACUGAUUGUGCAUUUGUAUAGCUUUCAUCAGCUGGACCUAACAGGUAGGUUGUUCAUAGGCCAUUUGAAAAGCUCAAUAGUUGCAAAUGAUUUCCGCUAGUCGAUAACCUCUAUCCAAAGACCUUACUUGCGAAAACCAAGUAAUUUAGUUUGAGUUUCAUACUCCCGAUUGAGGACAAUUUUACAUUGAGGCAGAAUAUCAAACUAGAGUUUUCGGCUAUCAAAUAAGGUUUAUUUUAUUUUGCUUGUCACCUAAAUUAGCUCCCAUCACUUUCAAAGAAAUCAAGGUACAAAGUACGUCUAUUGUGGACAUAUUUUCUUCGCUUUGUCAGUAUAAACCUCAAAAAUGAUGUUUUGGUAACUGAUGUUUUGGUCUGAUGUUUUGUAACUGAUGUUUUGGUCUGUUUAGUGUUAUACCUUAGUAUGGUUGAAACAGAAUAAGACCAUAUCUCUUUUCUUUUUUUCUCCUUCUUUGUUUCAUCUGAGUGAAUAUAAUUGCUAAUUAUGGUUGUAUCCUGUUUCAUUUCAGCAAAAAUAUCAUCUACUGCUGCUAAAUUUUGCUUUGUAUGAAGAGAAGCACAAGGUACGUUACUUUACGUAUGAAUAGGAGAAUUUCUGUAUACUUUAAUUUUUUUUUUUUAUUUUAUCUGAGAACAGGCCAUGUCUUAUAAUGUGAGCAUCUUGAAUUUGUAUACCAUGGGUUGAAUGGUGGUGAUUAUUAUAUCAUGCAGCAAAAGGCUAAUAAUGCUAAUAAUGCUAGUUUAUCUGGAUAACAAUGCGAAAUGGAGAGAGCUUAAAAUCUUCUGUUGUUGUAGAUUGUUUAAUUUAUAUAAUUUAUUAUUUUUUUUCUUUUGUUUGUUGCAGGAAAUGAAUUGCUGUUGAAAUAGGAGCUGAAACAUUUUUUUUAUCGUUUUUAAGUAUUUUCUAUUUUCAAAGUUGAGAGAGGCAGGAAUGAUGUUGAACUGUAUAUCGAAUAUUAUUACUCUAUUGCUUUUAAAUUGAUUUUGCUAUUAUUUUAUUUUUAAGAUGUUGUGGAUCAGAAGACAAUUAGCCUUUUAAAUUGUUGUUAAAAGAAUAAUUUUGUUUUCUUUAAUAUUUUGUUUGUUAUUUUGUAUAUGUUCUAUUUAUAAAAUAUAAGCUGUAUAUUUUUAUAUUUAGUUUAUUAUUUUUUUAUUAUUGGUGGCCAUUUAUUGCACAGUUGAUGGCGACAAAAAGUUGCCUUUUUAUUUUUAACUAAGGUGGCGACUGUAAUGGUUGCCGCUUAAUGAAAGGUGGCGAUUAAGAAGGGCCACUAAAACGUUAUAUUUGAUGGCGAAAAUGUAUUACCACCUUAUCUCCAUGAAAGGUGGCGACUAAGAAGCGCCACUAAAACGUUAUAUUUGAUGGCAACAAAAUAUCGCCACGCUAUCUUUAAUAAGGUGGCGAUUAAUAGUUGCCACUAAAAGCUAUAUUUGGUGGCGAUAAAAUGUCGCCAUGUUACCUAUAAUAAAGUGGCAACUAACAAAGGUCACUAAAAGUCAUAUUUAGUGGCGAUAAAAGAUCGCCACGCUAUUUUAAAAAAGGUGGCGAUUUUUCACGCUUCGCCACAAUUUCAUUUAGCGGCAACACUUUCAGUGGUAGCUUGUGGCGACUUUAAAAAUCGCCACCUUUUAAAAAUGUGGCAACUUUUUAUAUAUAUGGUGGCGACAUUAGUCGCCACCACUAUAUAAUAUUCUUGUAGUGAGAGUACAUUGAUUAGAUGUUAUCGAAUAGAAAUGAGGGGAGGGGAAAAGUCAAGGUCAUUGAAUUGGAGGUGAGAUUGAAAGAAAACUUGCCGAGGAAGGGAAGAGAAAAGCCAAGGUCAUUGAAUAGAAUGUGAGGUUGAAAGAAAACUUGCUACGUGACAAAAAUAUUGGGAAUUUAUAUAUGUUAUUAGAUGUUAGAUUAUGUUAUUGGACAUAGUACUUUUUUUAGGGUUAAUUGCACUGUUAUUAGAUGUUCUCGAGAUCCGGCGGCUCGGAUUGAUCGGGAGCGUCGGUGCGGUUUCGCUUCGUCUCCUUGAAGAUGGCCAUUGAUGGUUUCUUGAAGCUUCGAUCGGCCGGGAGCUCUUCCUGAUGAUCAAGAAGCUGCUGCGCGCGUACGUGAUCGGCGAGAGAGAGAGAGAGAGAGAGAGAGAGAGAGAGAGAGAGAGUUGUAAGUGGUUACGUCGCGUAGCAUAAAGUGUAUAAGACAUGCAUAUAGAUACGUACAUACGAAGCGCAAUUCCUAAUUCUACUCGAAUCAUGAUUAAUGUUAACGUUGAUGAAUAUUCUUACCGUUAACGAUCGUGAUAUAUAACUCGUGUUGGUAACUUCGAGUUGAAGGCGAUCGUGCGUUCACCAAAUACGCCGGGGAUCGAUGCUGAGAUUUGAGACUUCAGAGCCGUUGGAUCAGGUUCAUAAUGCAUUGUUUUAAAAAAAAAAACAAAAAACGAAAAAAAUCGCUGAGACAAGGAAAUUCAGUCGAGUUUAUCUUUUUAUUUUUUUUAUAUAUACGCAUAUUUUAUGACCACAUCUAGAAUUUGAUUAUUAAUGCUCAAUAGAUAUAAGUUACAGAACUUACAUAAUUAAAAAUUUACAAUCAAGAUAUUAAUUAAUUUCUAAAAUCAAUAGUAGAAAAAAUUCUAUCUAUUUAUUCAUAAAAAAUAAGUGUUUAAAAUUUGUGUGCGCUACAAUAUUUCUAAGGUAGUACGCUUCAUUGAUCCUACUUAAUAAAAGUUACUAUUAAAAGGGCCGACCAAUUUAAACAUUAAAAAAACUUAAGGAUAUAAUUGUAACAAAUUUAAACUUAUUUAAAAUUUAUCCCGUAACAAAUCAAAAUCACACCAAUUUAUUUAUUUAUUUUUUAUAAAACAAGAUAACUGCUAAAAUCGCACAUAAUCAUUCCUUACAAUUCAAAGAACAAAUCGAACUGUUAACUAAUUUCACACACAAUCAGAAUCGUCGAUCUCCUUCAAUUCCAGCCUCUCACCUAACUUGUUGCAAGUAUAAAUGUCACAAUUGUUUUAAUCGGCAUGACAAAUAAUAGAUUCGAAAAAAUAAUUAAUAUAAAAAAAAAAAAAGAUAGAGCACGCCGAAAUUUAGUGAAGACGAAGCAAAAUUUUUUUAUUAAUAUCAAAGGUGGAGUGCAAAGAUUAAAUUAAUCUCUCACAAAAUCCAAAUUUUCAAACACCCAAUUUUGCAUGUGGUACUAGACUCCGAAAUAGCUUGGCUCCCUCACCUGUACGGACACAUUGAACCAACACAACAGAGCACUCAGGGACGAAGCUAGGAUUCAAUCUUGAGAGGGACCAAAAUAUAUUUAAAUAAAAACUUUAGUAAUAAAUAAGAAACAAAAUUUUUCCUAAUUAAAAUUUUUUUAUUAAAAAAUUAUUAAUUAAAUAAAUAAUGUAAAAGUAUGAACUAUAUUUUUUUUAUUUUCAGAUGUUUAACUUCUAAUUAUUUUAUUUAUAUUAUUAUAUUAAAAUAACUUAGAAAUUUUACUAAAUUUAACAUUAAUUUUUUAGUUUUUUAAAUAAAAUUAACAUAGCUAUUAAAUUUAGUACAAUUCUUGAUUUAGUCAAAUAAAAGAGCUUAUCUAAAAUAAAUAAAAGUUUUAAAAAAAUUAUUAAAUAAAAAUUUUAGAGUAGAGAAAUAUAUUACAAAAGACUAUAAGUAAGAAACUUUUAAUAUAUUUUUAUUCAUAAAAAGAGCAUAUCGAUUAGAAAAAAGAGAAAGAGAGUUAUGUUGGCACCAUACUAUUAAGUAAAUAUUAAAAAACUAGAAGAGGCAAAGCUACCUAUGGUCCAUCAAAAAAAAAUUUUUUGAAGAACCAUUAAGCAAAUGUUGAAAAGUUGAAGGGGGCCAUGGUCACCUUUGGCCUCCACAUAGCUUUGUCCCUGAGAGCACUGCUUGGUGAUGUUGCUGCGUCCGUACGACGACCAACCAAAAAAAAAGAAAAAGAAAAAAGUUAGUUAGCUCUAUGUAAUUGGCGCCACUCUCCUCUCUAUCCGUUUACUUAAUUAUUUAGCGUGGGGUCUAAUUAGCGAUGCGGCUUCCUUAACACGACCGUGGUAUAUAUGUAUAUAUAAUGUAAAGCUCCAAAUUAGAGUCUAAUUCUAAUUAUAAUUUAGAUAAACUCCUAUUUAUACUCUCUGUAGGUCAAGAAAAAUUUAAAUUGUAUCUUAUCCUAAUUAGAUUAGAAUUUUAUUUUAAUUUAUAUAACUAUAAAUUUACAUCAAAAUUAUAACAACAAUUGUCCGUAAAAAAGUUCGAAAAAAUUUUAUUAAAAGCCUCUAAUGGCGAAGAAGCUGAAGGAGAAUCAGUUGUUGGAUGUUCCGCGUCCGUCUAGAAGGUAAAGAAGUUUGCAGCAGCCCUGCCGGUGACCGCGUGCAACAAAGACCCCGUCUGCACCCCUGCGAAAGUGGGUUUCGAACAGCGACGCGAGCGGCCACCGCCGCUGCUUCUUGCGCCUGUGUAGUAUCCUGAUGCAGCACCGACCGUCCCAUGAGCAAGUGGCAAAGGAUUUGAUGGUUGGUAUCCGAGACCCAAGUUCGAAUCCUAAUUGAUUCACAUUUCUAACUAAGUUUAUUUCUAAAUGAAAUAAACGAAGCGGGUAGCGUGCUACCUAUCUCUCAAAAAAAUAUCCUGAUGUAGCACGGCCGCAUCUUCGCCCUCACGAGCCGAAACUGGUUCCGAUCGAUUAUGUUACAGAGGCUGCAAUGUUGUUGUUGUCCGUGAUUUUGAUUCACAAAUUCAAUUGAAAAUGAAAGAAUUGAGUGUAGGCUGUUUACGUACGUCCCUAUCUAUAUAAGCUUUAAAAUAGAUUUUGUAAAUUACAAUAGAGACUCUUGAACGGGGGAGACUAGUUUGAUUACAAUAUACAAUGGGUUGUAGAGUCAACAGUUAUAUAUAUAUAUAUAUAUAUAUAUAUAUAUAUAUAUAUAUAUAUAUAUAUAUAUAUAUAGAGAGAGAGAGAGAGAGAGAGAGUUGGACUGGGCUACUAUUUGUAGCAAAAUUUUAUUGUUGCUGCCAAUUUUUUAGCCUUUGGAUCAACUCUUUUCAUUAUUUCUAACCAUUGGAUUAAAUACUAUAAUCCAGUGAGGACCACUCAACCCUAGGGGGACCACUCAACUCUAACCGACUAAUAUCAUCCUGACCCUACAAUUUUUCAUCCAAGGAUUAAAAACUUGAUAGCAAAAAGAGUGUUUUACUAUUAAUAGUAUUCCAGCCUAAUUUUAUAUAUAUAUAUAUAUAUUUGACAAAAAAAAAAGCGCACUACCCGCUUCAUUAUUAUAAAAAAUUAAUUCAGCUUCAAAAAUUAAGACAACUCAUCCUCGAAUAAAAAAAUAAAAAUAAAAAUAAAAAAUGAUAAAGAAACAAACCUUAGGAAACUAAAAUAAAAUAAAUAAAUAAAAUUAAAACAAAGUGAAACUAAAAAAGUUCACUUAAUUAGAUCUAGCUAGUUGCAGAACUUAGUUCACUUCUUUCUAAGUCUCAAGCUUGUCUAAUCACAAUUAGAGAAUCUGAAGAUUGGUUUUUAAAAAUCUCGUUAUUUCUUUGCUGUCAAAUCAUCUACCGACAGAUUGUAUUUUUGAUCUGUUCUUUCGCUAAUACCCUUUGUUUGUGAUUCUCAGACAAAAAGUACUAGACAUUCCUGGCUCCACCAUUGGUUCCGAAAUAUGUCUAUCGUAAAGUAGGCUAAAUAUCAGAAAUUUACUGAAUACAUAUCCUACGAAUACAUAAUCACAGUCUCAGCUUCAUUGUCACACAAAAUAAACUGUAGAUUUCCGAACUAGUCUUUUUUAAGUAGAUUAUCAAUCGUUGAUAGUUACUUCUUAAUAACUAGCCAAAUUAAUAAAAACUCUAACAUAAAAUAGAGCGUAAUAUAAAAAACAGAGCUCAAUAUACAAGCUUCAAUAAUCUUUAAAAACAAAAAUUUAAACAAAUAAAUGAAUUUGAUCUUCGAUCGUCUUUCUAUUUACAUCUUCUUUUAUAUUCUUUUAUGAACAAUUCCCUCACAAGCCCUGCAUGCAUGCAUGCAUGCAUGCAUGCAUCAAGUGCGAAAGCACGCAACGAAGCGCCGAAGGUGGCUGCGCUGGCACCGCUGAUUCGUACGCUGGUGCUCUUCCCUGGCGGCAGCGUCGCGGUCGAUGACGCUUUCGAUACACCGAAAGUAGUCGACGCGGCACGGAAUAACGAUCGCGCCCGUCUGGUGGAACCCGAACUCCGCCUCGGCCGCAUCGAGCAUGGUCGCAAAGAGCGGGUGCUCAAGGUGCCCCACCGGCACCACGAACCUCCGCCGCCUCUCCCCCUCGGCCCCGACCCUCACCGCGACGUGUCCCUUCGGCGGCAGAGGCGAUUUCUUUGAGGACCAGGGCCAGUGAAGGUGCAAGUUCUUCCAUGAAUGGCGUUGCUGCAGCCUCUCUUUGCUGAUGCUGUCCAUGCCAGGAAACAUGAAAACCAAGCGCGCAAAUUAAAGAAGCUACAAAUCAAGAGGGAGCUUUUGAGUGAAAGAGCGUUGCAAAAAGGAUCCGGUAUUAGCUGGGAGAGGGGGUGUGUAUAUAUAUAAGAAAUAAUAAUAAUAUAAUAAUAAGAAAGCUAGUUAGAGUCUAGUUUAAAUUGGAGUCCGCGUUGAAGAUGAUUUUGCUUGGUCAAAUUAAGUAGGACACGUUUUUAUUUUUUUCGUUUGCGUAUUAAUUAUUAUUAAUUAAUUUGAUACAUAUAUAAUUGGUCUACGUACGGAGCUAGUACUAUUAACCGUUAGUCAACUUUGCGAUUUUUGUUGCGCUCUCCGCGCACUUUGAAACAAAUCUAAAUAGAAUUAAAUAACAAAAAUUCAGUAAAACUUAUUUUAAAAAUAAUAAAAUUUAUUUGCAUUUUAUUUUAUUUAUUGUUCAACAAUUUAUUAAAAAUCACUUUUACGUACUGUGCUUACUUUUUCUAAUUUUUCUGAAACUAUAGUUUUAUUUCGUUAGGAGGAGAGAUCAUAAGAGGGGCUGGAUAAAAUAUUCUGUCCUACAAAAUAAUAAGAAAUAAUUAUUUUGUCUCGAAAAAAUUAAAUUAUGUUCAAAAAUUUUGCUAACAUUUGGAGUCGAUCGAGGCAUUUUUAAUAGUUUAAGAUGUAGAUUUGAAUUAAAUAAAAACAUUAAAUAAAAGUAGGAGUGUGAUAGGAUUCGAACUUAGAAGUGGAAACUCGGAAUCUCUUAUUCUGAUAAUAUAUUAGUCAAAAAAUUAAUUAAUAAUAAGCCCUAAAUUAAAGUAGACAAUUUUUUAUAAACAAUCACGCUAAUAUAAUUAUGGGCUGACCAUAUAAUUCUCUCCUGGAGUCCAACCCACCUACCGCCCAUAAGUAGUAGGGCUGGCAAACGAGCGAGCCGGCUCGCGUUCGACUCGUGUUCAGCUCGAUAUUCGGCUGGCUCGAGCUCGACUCGAAAUUAAAUGAGCCGAGCUUGAACAAAAUAAAAGGCUCGAAAUUCAUUUCAAGCCGAGCUUGAGUAUUACUCGGCUCGUUCGAAUUAGGCUCGAAAAAGCUCGAAUAUAUAUAUAAAUAUAUAUAUAUAUAUAUAUAGGGUUUAGGGUUUAGGUAUUUAUAAAUAUAAAAUAUUUAUAAAUAUAAUGUAUUUUAAUUAUAUAUAGGCUUUAAUUUAAUUUGGGCCAUUAUUGUUGGCCCAUAAAAUAAACCCAACAAGUACAACCGUGCAAUUGAGCCCAACUCUAAAUUUACAUAACACACUCUCUCUUUCAGACUUUCACUGUUGCACAUAAUCCUAAAACAUGAUAACAUUCAAAUUCCCAAAUCCCUAAUUUUUUUCUCCCCCCCCCUCUCUCUCUCUCUCUCUUUCUCUCUCUCUCUCUCUCUCUCAGACCCUCACCCAGUCAGGCAGUCACCCUUGCUCACAUUUCUUGCAAUUAUUUUGUAUUUUGAACUAUUGGACAUGUUGCAUCAAAUUAUAAGUAAUGUUCUAUAAAAAUUAAACUAUUGAUUAUAUAAUGUCGAGAAUUUCAAUCGGCUCGUUUAGAGCUCGAGCUCGGCUCGACUCGAAAUUAGGCUCGCUUGAGCUCGGCUCGAAUUAAUUUCAAGCCGAGCUUGAGCCUAGAUUUAGGUUCGAAAUUAAUUUCAAGCCGAAUUUGAGCUGGCAUAAGCUCGCUCGAGCUCGGCUCGUUUCCACCCCUAAGUAGCACGUGGUAUGUAACUAUAUAAACUAAUAUAUUAAAAUUAAAGGUGUCCGUGGACCGGAUCGGAUUUAGAUAGUUGAUGUACUAUACCCGUACCCUAAAUAGAAAUGGAUACGAAAAAAAAAACUAUAUUCUACCCAUUUAACUUCGGAUCGGGUCCGAUUCUAGGUACUUAAGUUAAUAAUAUACCUAUCGAGUCUAUUUGAGCGGGUCUGGAUAGUGACUACCCGUAUACUGCCCGCUUAAAACCGGAUAUGGAUCGGGUACGGAUUGGGUCUAGAUCGGGUAUAGAUACCCGUAUGCAUAUAUUUUUUAUAAAUUUUAUUAAGCAGUUUAUGGACAAAUUAUAAACCUAUCACUAUAAAAAAUCCGCAUUUUAAUUACAUUAAUUGCAGCCAGUCUAAUAAAAUUCGUUCGAAAGGAAGAUUCAAACUGUGGCAGCUAGAAUUAAACAAAAAGAGUAAAAUAAAAAUAAAAAAAUGAGUAAACAAAGAGACUAGAGUUUUCACUAGAAUGAAAAUAGAUCCUUCAUUUACAAGUCCUAUUGAAAUUGAUCUCUCAACUUCACAUUUUUUUAUUUACUAUUGAGUACUUCACCGGGCUCAGUUUCGAGUCCAGUUUCGGGUCCGGAUUUAAAAACUCUUCCAGACCCUACCCAUUAGAAGUUCGGGUUUGGAUCGAGUCCAAGUCGGGUAUGGGUAUAAAGUAUCCGGACCCGUACCCAGAACUUUAAUGGAUAAAUUUUUUUAUCCGUAUACUAUCCAUUUAUUAUCGGAUUCGGUUCGGGUCCGGGUAGAGUCCGGAUAGAGUCCGGAUCGGGUAUGAUAUAUCGGAUAUUUUGGACAGCUUUAAUUAAAAUAGUUAAAUUAUUCUUUUAAUAAAUAGAGAUAUAUAUUUGAAUAGUCUUUUGAUAAAUAGAGAUUAUAUGCUAUAGAUUAUGUUAUUGGACAUAGAAUUUCUUUAGGGUUAAUUCCAUUGCCAGCGCUCAAACUUUUUAUGGAAAUUACUUAAUUUGGUUCACUAUUUGUUAAUGUGAGCUUAUAAUUCCAAACUUCUUGAUGUAUAAUAUAUUAAAUUUGCUUGUUUUGUCAUCUGAUAGAAUGCGGUUUCGUUUUGUCAAAUAACAAACUUUAUAUCUUAAUUUGAUGCACACGUGUGUACUAAAAUUAUUUACUCAGUAUUAAUUUGGUUACUUUUAUAUUAAUAAUCAUGGCAAAAAAUGGCAUAACACAUCAAUUUUAUUAAUAAAACACAGUUCUCUAAUAGCUAAAAUUUAGAGAUAAUUUUUUCUUUCACAAUAUUUUAAAAUAGUGUCAAAUUUUUUCUUUCACAAUGUUUAAAAUAGUGUCAAAUAUAUAAGGCCAACUAAAAAAUCUCUACUGCAGACAUUAUAUAAUGAGCUGUGUACUCUAAGUUAACGGCAAACUUUAACUAAAUGUUCUCAUACAUUUAUAUGUAAAAUAGUCAGAAUAGUUAUAAAAGAGUAAAAUAUUUAAUAUUCAUCUAUUAGUAGACUUAGAUCUAAUAUGCUUAAGCUUUUAGUCACAUCCCUCAUGUAGGGUUGGGCAGAAGUUUAUAAUAACAUGCGUGGACUACAUAGCAGUAAAUUUAUCAUCUCCCGUGAAAUUUAUUUUUACGUUCAUUUUCUUUAGUCAUAACAGAUUAUCUUAUGGAGUUCAUAGAAAAUUCAGAUUCAAAAAAUUAUUGAGAAGGUUAAAUGCCCAUCAUAGUGACAUGUAACUCCUAUAUAUAUUAGCAUUUCUUUAAUUUUGCAUUUAAGAACAAUAAGAAGAUAAAAUAAAUGUAAUUGCUUGUAAAAGUAGUGGGAAAAAAUAGUAAUAAUAGAUCGGAAGUUGCAUAAUAUAUAUAGAAAUAUAACAAGAGAUCUAGUUAUCUCAUUUGAGAACCAAUACAUUUCUAAAAAGGGAUGUCUGAAAAGAAUAUCUGUGAAUACUUUAGGAAGCCUUGGAGUGGGGGGCCUACUGGCUCUAAUAAAACCAUCAAAAUUACACAUAGUUUACUGAUUUCUUCAGAAGUCCUCAUGCAAAACCAGGCAAAUAUAAAAGAGCUUAGAAAAUAAGUAAAUAUAUCAUCGAUCACAUCCAAUUAUACACCAAGAGAUUAAUUAACUGAAGACAUACAGGAACUAUAAUUCGGGAUCUACCGAUCUAAUCAUUUAAUUGCAUUAUUAUAUUAUUAGUUACACCAGGGUAUACAUUACAUCAGGCUCCACGUACCAUGAAAUUAAUGAAUCUAAAUUGAAUAACUAAUCAGAGAAACCACAAUCAAACCUAGCUAGCUCCGUUAAUAACCCCCCCAGUUACAUUAAUUGAACCCAGGAUUAUACUUCAUAAAAAAUUAAGGGGCCAACUAAUUAGUAUUACUGUAAACAGAAAUAAAGAACCAUCGUGCAGAUCGAGUACGCAGAGUAAUUACGGAACGGAACGAUCGAUCAGGCUCACGAAUCUUGCAGCAACAGUAAUGCUUCCGCGGCCAGCAGUUCAUCCGCAUCGAACUUAUCAUCAUCGCCGUCUUCGCGUACUUCGUCGCCCUUCUUGCGGCUCAGCAGGGCCAUGCCGAGGCCGCCGCAGCACCGGAACGCCCAGAUGUCGAUGCGGUCGCCCGCGCGCAACCCGUGGCGUUUCACGAAGCGGCCCCAGCUGCCGAUGAGGCGGAAGUCGCCGUUGGAGUCGAGGAAUUUGAACGUCAUGGCGUGCUCCCGCCCCAGCCGGUCGAACACCCUCACGGGGAGGCCGCGCUCGCGGUCGGCGACGAGCGCUGCCUCGUCAGACGUGAUCAAGUCCCGCAGCGACGUCGUGGCCGUCACCUGUUUGUGGGUCAGCAGCAGGCGGCUCUGCUGGCUGCUGACGUCCGACCCCGACAGCUCUUUCUGCAGUAUCCACGUCGGCUGGCUCACCCCCUCCCGCAGCAGCGCCGACAGAAUUCCGACGCACCGCGACGGCUUCGGCGCACCGCCGCUGCCUGCAGGACGAUUGUUGGGCCGCGGGCUGCGUUUCUUGGAGGUGAUGAUCGGAGAAGCCGCGGCGGUGCCGACGGCAUCAGCUGGGGGGUCUCUCCUCGGCUUCUUCCUUGCCGGUGGUUGCGCGGAGUGCCCCAGCUCAUGAUCAUGCACGUUCUCGAGAUCCGGCGGCUCGGAUCGAUCGGGAGCGUCGGCACGGCUUCGCUUCGUCUCCUUGAAGAUGGCCAUUGAUGGUUUCUUGAAGCUUCGAUUGGCCGGGAGCUCUUCCGGAUGAUCAAGAAGCUGCUGCGCGCGUACGUGAUCGGGGAGAGAGAGAGAGAGAGAGAGAGAGAGAGAGUUGUAAGUGGCUACGUCGCGUAGCAUAAAGUAUAUAAGACAUGCACAUAGAUACUCACGUAGGGCAAUUCCUAAUUAAUAUUACCGUUAAUGUAUAUUCUUACCGUUGACGAUCGUGAUAAUUCGUGUUGGUAACUUCGACUUGAAGGUGGUCGUGCGCUCGCCAACUACGCCCGGGGAUCGAUGUUGAGACUUCAGAGCCGUCGGAUCAGGGGCGUAUUAUAGAUUUUAAAAAAAGUGCCGAGAUCCCUCAAAUCAAAUUCUGAUUUUUUCUUUAUUUUUUUGAAUUACGUGAUUAUAGUCUGCAGAGUUUACGCGAUUGAGACUGCCUUUAUCCCUUUAUAUUUUAUUUAUUUAUUUAUUUAUUUAUUCAGGUAACUUUUUUUGUCUUGAGAAAGUUUGUUAGCCAAUUAUUGUUAUAUUAAAUUGGGUUUGCAACCGAAUCUAGUGGGUGCAGGGAAAUUAUAGAGAGCGUUGCCAAAUUAUUUAUCUUUCAUUAGUGAGUUUGAGUUGAGGGCAAAUCCCCUUUGUUUUGCCAAGUUAAGGGCUAAAGCUACUGCUGUUCUUUUGAAAUAUUUAAGUGUUGUUAUUGCUGUGGUUGUUGUUGUUGUUGUUAUUAUAAUUAUUAUUAGUAGUUAUUAUUAUUUCUCUUUUUGACAAUGUUACUUAUUGUCAACAUUCUCUCCCACAGUGGCUAAAAAAGAAAAAAGGAACUACUAGAGACAAAUUAAGAAACUAAGAAUCCAUUUCGCCCAGCAUUAACAACCCGGCAUUUGGCCUACUUUGUUGGCCGAGUCGUGCAACCGGUCAAUGGGGUUUAAUACGUUACCACAAAAACUUCAAAUUAAAGCUUUUUGAAAUAGCAAGAGUUGGGCAUGCCGGAUCCCUCCCGAUGCAUCUCAGGCAAAUGAGGCCCUGACAUGGCGUCUCGAGCGACAAGAUCCCAGUAGUACAACAAACCUUCACAUAGUUCCAAAGAGUCCAUAAUACAGUAGUGUAUGUAUACAUGUGUGUUAUGUAUAAAACAUAAAUCCUGCAUGUCCCAACCUUCACAACCACAUAUCGAUACGAAUUUGGUUAAAAAAAUAGUUUUCCAGCUAAAAAAAGUCAUGGAGAAUGUCUUAUGGACAUUUUUGCUUCUCAAAACACCACCAAAUAAUAUAGUAGCAAUCACAAAAUACCCAUAAGAGCCUCUUCAAUAUAAAGAGCUAAAUAAGCAAUAUGGAAAAGGACAAGGAACCCAUGGUAGGAGUCUAUCAAAUAGAGAGAUUCUUUUUGAAGGCAACGCAAUCCAAAAUCUAACAAAGAUGGUCUUCUCUCCCCCCAACCAGAAAAAAAAAGAGGAAAAAAAGAAAAGAAAAGAAAAAAAAAAUUGUUAGAAUAAUAAUCACCUAUCCGCGUGCUCUCUCUGACUUCACCUUUAAUCUUCUUUACUCCCAAAAUGAAUAAAAUGCCAAACCUGCACAAAAACAAAAAGAAAAACAGCAUCCAGUUAGAUAAACUAUACACAGAAAAGAUUCACAAAGCAUGAUAUUCUAAAAUAAAAGCAAUGUGGACAUACAAAUACUAAUACAUUAGUUCUUACAAUGGUUGAAUCCUAUUACUGCAAUAAAAAUGAAAAGAAAAACAGCAUCCAGUUAGAUAAACUAUACACAGAAAAGAUUCACAAAGCAUGAUAUUCUAAAAUAAAAGCAAUGUGGACAUACAAAUACUAAUACGUUAGUUCUUACAAUGGUUGAAUCCUAUUACUGCAAUAAAAACGAGAUUGCAAAUACAAAAAUAUGGGAAGAAAAUAAGCGAUCAAAAGGUGCAAUAACACAAAAGGAGUCUUUGUCUAGGAAGCAAAUUUUGGGGAAUCGUAACUCUAAUGAGACUAAGAUAACUAUGAAACCACAUAAAUUCCAAGAAACUUUGGGCCACAUUGCAUCUUACUGGAUUGGAAGCAUCAGCUGUCAAAGUGACACAAGAAUGUGAUGGACGGCAGCUGAAUAAUGAACGAAGAAGACAGCUUAAAAGUACGAGCAUGAUCAGUAGGCCUCAGUUUGUUAGAUAUAAUAUAAUCAUGAAGUAAUCCUGUAUAGAAAGUAUACGGAUAAAUAAUUAUGAAUUUCUUACACAGUUAAGGUAGAAUUAUCUGACUGCUUCAUAAUGCAUUCAUAUUCCAAUCAAAGAUCGGAACAAGUCUCAAAUGCUCAGUUAAAUUGAAUUGGUUUCGGAUUCAUGAAGCACCAAAAGAACAGUGAAAAGAGAUAGCUAAGAUGCAAGAUGGGCCCUGAAGAGCACAAACACUUGACUGAGCUUAGGAAUUGCAGUUGAUGAUGCUAGAAAUAGACAACUCUAACAAGAAAUAAGCUAGGAGUUGACAAAUUAUGAUGUGAUUAUAAUUUACCAUUAAUAAAAACUUAACCAUCGUAAACGUCAGUGUAGGAACUAUAGUCAGACUUAUUACUAGUUUUAGUAACACGUGUUUAAGCAUCAUAGACAAUGUUCAGAGUACUGCUCCAUUCAAGUUACUGUUACUAAUAGGUUGUUUGCAGUAUUAUCAAAAGAUUUAGAGAAUGCAAGAAGUUUUCAUCCAGCCAGAACACGUGAAACCCUGAAAAUAUGGUUAAUGAAGUCUACCUUUUUGAAAUGGAAACCAUAUUUGUGGCUCAUGAAGCAGCUUGCAAAGACUAUAUAUGAAGGGUGGCCACCUGCAUAAACAACUAUUCUUAUCAACAUAGUGAGAAAAUGUCUAAGAGUAGAACCAAUUAGCAUUAAAAUUUCUGCCAAAAACAAUGGAUGGUACAAGAGGCUGAGAUAUUCUUCUUAAUUUAGGACAAAAAGUAGGAUUAACAAACAGGGCAACCAACAUCAGAUACAAAUACAGUGGAUACGAAAUGACGUCCGGUUGCAGGAGCAUAAAAUAUUGCCAAAAGCAAAAACACUACGGAUGUCUCUAGAAAAAAAAAAGGACUAGCUAUAAAUCGAGAGGGAAACUUCCCAUGAAUACGAAAAUGUCAAUACUCUAAUACAGUACCCACAUGAGCAACCACUUAAAAUCAAGUUGUCCCUUAUCUAGAGAGGCACUUAUAUUCAACCCAAGACAUAUGUCCAACUUUUACACAGAUAUCUCAUGCUUAGCUAUCAUUUACUAAGGCAUCUCAUGCUCAGGUAUCAUCAUUUCUUUACCUAAUAUUGAACCUACUUCCAUAGUAUGUAAGACUAUCAUAUCUAAGCAUAAAAGUCGUACCCUUAGGUGAAAAAUAGUAAUAUACAAGACAGCAGUUUAAGAACCAUAACAUUGAUGGAUGGAGAAAAGCUAUUGUUGGGGCAAAUACUAUAAAAGGUACAACAGCAAAGCUCACACGUGUAGAAUUCAAUUAUUUGUACUUCUUAUAUACUUAAUAAUUAAUUACCGAGCUAUAAAUUUCAAGUCAUAUCCAUUGAGCAACUCAGCAUAAAUCUUCAAAAUCAUUGAGAUUAAUGGAUUGAGAUAACUACCUGAGGCAUCAAAGGAAGCAUAUCCUUGCUGUCAGAAUGCAUUGUCAGAUUAGAUGGCCAAUUUGUCUGUAUACAAUCACUUGCUAGGAAACAGUAGAACACUGAAGAAUACCAAAGCAAGAAAGUAAUAGCUAAUUUGUUCUGGCCGAAAAAGUUGUAGACACUUCUUAUUUGAUUCAUUCAGAGAACUUCCAUUACUUGCUGCUUAUGCUUUGGUUGUUCCGACAUCUUCACCCAAUAUAACAUCUGCUGGUCUUGGAAUGUCAUUUCCUCUAACUACUCUGUUGUAAACUAUUUUGAAAGAAUGCGAUCCGUACGGCCUACUCAGCAAAUUCACAGGCACUCUGAGAGUCUGCUUCCGACUUUUCCCCUUCACGUAAAUGCUAAAGGUCCCAUCGCCUUCAUAUCUUGUAACUUUUUUCAUGGGACGUCUUUCACCAAUUUUCGUUGUACUAUUAUUUUCUUUAGAAGUUAUCUCAGGUUUCAGUUCAUUAGUAACUACUUUUUUCAAGUCAUCUUCUCCAGAUUCUCCCUCAUUUGGUAAAUAGUUAUUAGCAACAGCAUUUCCAGUUUCCACUGUCGCAGAUACCUCUGUACCCUCAUCUUUCUCAAUUGUUUUCACAAUAUCACAGUCAAGUGAGGGUGUCAAAUCCACACUUACAACAUGAGACUGAACCAAUGGUUCCGGCAAAGAUGCAGAAAUAGGAUUUAUAAUAGGCGGUGGCACAAUAGGGAAAUCAACUGGACUACAUCCUGGCCAUAUUGAUACUGGCACGAACUCGGGUGUACUUGGAUUCAUAUUGCAUUGCCAAGAAUAGUGGUUAGGUUGAAACAUGUUAUUGUUCAUAGCAAAUGUGGUGGUUGGAACAGCUUGAGGCUGAGUGUAUGGUGGGUAGAUAAAUGGCAAGGGAUGUAAAAUGUUAGGGGGCCGAGGGGAAGGAGGGUAAGGGAGGUGGGGAGAUGUGCAGAGAGGAGGUGCGGUAGGCAUUAGAGGUGCGGGCCGAGAGUGAAGAGAAACACUCAUGGACCAAGGCCCAACUGCAGGAAUGGGACCAUUUGGAGAAAGGCUGACAUUUACAGGCACAGGGCUGAGAACAACGGGAGGAGAGGGGUUAAACGGUGCAGCAGAAGCAGACAACUUCUUAUUAGGGAUGUCUCUAGCAUCAACAAUGUUCAACUCCAGUUUUGGUUUUGGACCACUGCCUCCAGAUUCCUCAGGGCCACCAAAUUUUUCUUCAAGAUUCUCUUGAUUUUCUAUAGAGAAUGAAUUGGUACUGAUUCCAAUGCUGCUUGAUAAAGCUCCAUGUAAUGAUUCCCCUUUAGGUUUGUCAGUUGAGAGGUCAGCGUUCUCCCGAACAGUUGAUUCUAAAGAUUCAAUACUAUGUAUCACUUCUUGCCCCUCAUCACUAUGUAUCCCAGAUAAAGCUACUUCAAUAUGUAGUGAUGACAAAUCAGUUGAGCCUUCUUCGCUAGUUUUCUGGUUUUCUACUUCUACUUGCUUUGCAGCAAUUCCCACUUCCUCAACACAGUUAUCUUCUUGCUUGGUCUCAUCUAUGUUAGCUGCCACAGUCGAUUUUUCCACAUGAUCACUAACCACAAGCAAACCCUUCCUUUCUUGUUCAUCUGUUUCAUUUGACAAUUUCCUAUUUGCCAGUAUAUCACUUUCAUGAUCUUUAACUGCUGAUAAAUUCUUCAUUUCAUGCCCAUCUUUCUGGGUAGAUAUUUCCUGAUUCGUUGGCAAAUCAUCUUUAGAUCUCUGGAUUUGAGCCUUAAUAAUUGUUCCUGGAGGUGCAAGCGCAACAUCUUUGUAUGAUGGCGCAUUUUCAAGACUAGCAAUCAGAGUAUUCUGUGACUCACCCUCCCUUUGAUCUUUGGAUGCAAUGUUAUAAAGAGAUGGUGAUUCCACUUGAGCAUUUGUUUUCUCACUGAAAAUCAUAGAAUUAUCAAUCUCCUCCGUAGAUGAAUUCACCGACUUCACUCUGUAUGAUACAGAUCUGUACACUUUACGACUAAAUUUGACAUUUGGUGGCUGAACUAUCUCAUUUGUAUGAUCUGUGUGGCUACCAGGGGUUACAAUCCGUUUCUUUACUACGUAAUAGUGGCUGCUCGAAUAAGAAAACUUUGGCUUGGAUUGAGCAGUAUCAUGAGCCCUUUCACUAUUUGUGCGGUAUUUCUUAAUUCGCUUUCCAGAAACUCCCGCUGAUCUGGGCCGUUGGACUGGUUGCCAGCCAUCGUCUGGUCCUGAGAUUUCAUCACUCAACAUUUCAUCAACAAUAGUGAGCUUCUCUUCAGUUUUAACUUUAAGCUCUUCAGACUUUACUAACUGGUCUUUAACUUCAACUUCAAAUUUAGGCUCUUCAGACUUCUUGGGUAUUAAGCUCUUCAGACUCCUUGUGCUGUUGUCAUCUUGGCUAAGGUUGGAUUCAUUGAAUUGCCUUUCCUCAUCUGAAACUGAUAAAUAUGGCUCUUUAGGAGACAACCCAGGGCUUGCAAUAUUCAAGUUCAGAGAAGAAUUGCCUUUGGCCUGAUCAGGAAAGGAAGAAAUAUGAUUAAUCAUGUAGAUAAACAAUAGUUAGCCCCAAAAUAAUAUACGAGAAUCAAUUAAAUUGGACCAAUGCAAUAGAAUUGGCUAAACUAGAUCAAGUGUGGGCCGGUUUUCAAUUCUGAGAUGCACAACAUACUGAACAUCUUCUCAACAAAAAUUUAUGUUGUAUCUUGAUCUCCUUUUGACUGUAAGUGACAGAUGUUCACCAUUUUAACAAUUACACUUAUACAACUGCGAAAUUAAUUCUAUGACGAUGAUUCAAAGCUUCAAAUAAUAGGAUUUAAUUGACAAAUUCGCAAAAAAAUAACUUUCAACUGGUUCCUGCGAGAAAAGAAAAUUGACAAAACAAUAAAAAGGUUACUAAUAUGACUAAUAGAUAAUAUUGAAAAGAAAUGGUAGUGCAAAAUUACCAGAAUAACAAUUGGACAGGAAAAAAGGAGAAAAAGAAAAGGAAAAACAACUACAACUGUAAGCUUCAGAGAUGGGGCUUGCGUAAAAAAGACUGGCCGUUCAGCAACAGAAAUAGAAAUCUAAAGUAACUAUCUAUUUAUAAGUUGAGAUUUAAAAACAAAUAACCUGGAUCUCAAUUUCUGAUCACAACCAGUCAAGAUGAAUACCUAUAAACCAUUUUUUUUCAUGGUUGGCUAGUUCUGGCUGCAUAAAUUUCAUUUUUGACCAGUACACUAACAGUUCUGUAAAUAGAACUUUUUUUUAGCCUUUUGAGGUUCCUUCUACAUCUGAUUCAUUACAGCAAUAUGAAACUGCCAUAUCUAUCUGUUUUGUUGACUAAACUCCUCAUCUUAUUUCACUUAAUUUCUGUCCUUAGGCUACAUCUAAGUUUAUAACCAAAAGAAGAAAAUAAACAGAAAGACAAUUACAAACCAACCUUAACACCCAAACUUCUCCUCCUUGUUGACUCAGAGUCUCUACCUUUGAUCUCCUGGUUGGGAUUUAUGUAAUCAAGAAGAUCAGAAACACUGCCAAAAAGAAGGAAAGAUUUAAGAUUUCAUCAUACAAGUAUACCUUCAGAAAUUUGUUUGAACUUCCGCAUUUAGUAUAAGUACAUAUACACACGACUACGGGAAGCAGCAAAAUAUGCCACUUUAGCAGCAUCAUGAGUCGGCAUAAUAGUUAUACUCUAGCAAAGUUUCAGAUCCAAUUGGUAAGUUCAAUACCAAAUUUUGUACCUUAGGUGGCCUUUGCUAGCAAUGGACGCAUCAGGCUUCCGGGUACCAUUGCGAACAGCUUCCUGCUGCUCAAUAGCCUUUGAUUCAAAAUAUUCAAGCCAAGCAGCAGCAUCCUGAGAAAUUCAGCGAAACUUCUGCUUAUAAGACUCGAGAAAACAAGAAGUUAAAAAGGGCAAAAGGAAGAAAAGGAAAAGACAAUCCAAUAACUUCUUGGAACCAAUCUAUGAUUACAAUACCUGAGUCCGCAAGUCAUCGGGACCAAGCUUUGCUCGCAGAAUUCGCAAGGUAGUUUGCUCAUGUUGAACGCUCAAUGGAUAUGCUUCCAUCAAGGAGAGUGCAAUAGCUAUAGCAUGGUAGCUGGCUGCAGUCUGAAGGUUUAGAAGUAAUAGAAAAAAAAAUUAUAUAAGAACAAAAUAUAAGAAAAAAAAAAAUGAAAGUAGUCAAGAAAAUGCAGGGGCAUUUAAUAUACUUACAAAGUAUCUAUUUGCAUAUCAACCGCUGUAAAACAUGAAAUUUCAUAUAUACUCCCCUAAAAGGCCUAGUUCCUUACUAAUAACCUUCUAGUUGGGUUAGUCAUUUAAUUCGUAUGCCAGAAGUCUAUUUUUUAUUAGAGGCAAAAUAAAGCCUUUUAAGGGCAUAUGAAAACUCGGAUUUGAAUGAUAUAUUUGCAUGUAAAUUAAGUCAGAAUUGUAAGGAACUACAAGAGAAUAUCUUUUAUGUUUUAAGUGCUCCACAAUCUCAUUUGAUGGUGAAAUUACAAAAUCCAGGAAUGAGCUAACAGAAGCCUCCUUUGUUACUACUGUAACCGUCCAGCUCAAAGUGUGACUACAAGCAUUUUUCAACCUAUACACACAUAAGAUGUAUUUUCAGAAGAAAGGCAGCUAUUUUAUAGAACAACGGAAAAAGGAAGCAGAGGGAAACAAGAUAUAGUAGAAGGAGACCUGAAUAUGGUCAGGGCCAAGUAAUCUUUGGUUGCAUUUCAGCGCUUUAUGGAGGUAUCUUAAUGCGACAUGCACAUUUCCCAAGCCUUCCUCCAUCAUGGCCACAUUGAUGUAUGUAGCAGCUGUAUUUGGAUGGGAUGGUCCACAAGUAAGAUGCAGGAGAUACAAUGCGCGCUUCACAUACCUGAUUUACAGAAAAAAUUAAAAGAAAUAGAUUGAUGGCAAGAAACUUCAAAAUCAUGUUUAUUGGAUGAUCUAAUUUCAACUUAAGAGGAACAUAUACAAGUAGAAGUGUAGAACCAAACUUAAGAAAGCACUAGUUACAUAGAAAAAAGAUUUGUAAAUGUAAUAAUGAAAAGGAAAUAUGAUUCACGAAGAACUGGAUCACUUAGGCCUCAUUUUGGCAUCGUGUUAGUUUUUAUUUUUUUAAUAGAAUUUUGUAUAUCAAAAGGUGUACAGUGGACGGUGGAUUGUUUGCAAUCCUUUCAUCCAAAGUAUUUGGCAACAAAAAACUAAAAUUUGAAAGCAACAUUUUUUUGCUUCCACAAUUAUUUUAAACAAGUUAUCAUCUAUCGCUUAGCCGGAUGCAUUGUAAGCUGGUCAACUAUAACAACAAAAGUAGUAUUUCCUCCAACAUAUCAAAUUAUAUUGAAUUACUGUAAAAAAAAUAAAAAACAAACAUGAUACCAAACGAGGUCUUAAGUUUCGAAUAAUUAGAAAUUCCCAUCACAGUUAUGUAAGAAGAAAUGCCAGAUAGCAUACAUCAGACCGCUUUGACAGAAAGUGACCUUAAAUCCUACAUUAUUUUGUUUGAUCUACAAGAGAAAUUAUAGGUGACAAUCGCUUUAUUCAAGAACUGAUAUAAUGUUCUGAUCAAGAAAGCCUUUGAUAUACAACGUAGUCCUAAUUUUUCCCUCUGAUAAUAUACUUCUCUAUAAAAUUUCUAUAAUAAAAAAAAUAGCAACAAUGAUUACAGAAAUUAUUAUAUUUGAUGAUCGGAAACAAGUACUGAGAAGAUUAAGUGCUGAUGUCUUAAAGUGAUAACGGGAUGCAAUUAUAAAUUAAGUGCUCUUUAAGGUAGCCUCUUUAUAAAAGAUAACAAUGGGAAAUAAGGAGUCUGUUAAUGCUGUUUUAUAAAAUUAGAAUGUAACCGCCAUAUAAGGCAUUAUGGCCCAAUACUUUCACCUUACAUAAUGCAUAUAUUUAAAGGUUUGAGUCCAUAGAGCAGCCAUUUAGUGCAAAAAUGUUGAAGGUCAGGAGUGGGUAAUUGCCUUUUAAUUUCUCCCUACAUGGUGAAAUGAUAGUAGCUCAAUGGACAGCAUAAUGGAAAAGAUCUUCAUAUUAGGUUGUUGUUACUCGUAAGUGAUAAAACCACCUAGCCUUAAUUAUAGGAUAUCGAAAUAUAUUUAGAGUCUAGGUUUUAUGUUAACGGUUUAUGUUUCAAAGGGUUUAGGGUUAAGGGUAAAGCCAUAAACCUUAUUUUCGGUAGAACAAUAUCUAAACAUCUCCAUUCUACAGUUUGAGACUUCGUUAUGAUUUGUGAAACCAACUUGUUUGUAUGUGUUUCUGAGGAUGCUUCCCCUUCUCUAACUUAGCAUUCUUGUGGCAAUGGUAUUGCAGAUCACCUGUCCAGAUAUAUCCUAUAAUUAUAUAGGUGCAAAGAAUAUAGACCUCGUAAUAAUAACUAAACAAGCAAAAUUAGCUAUAUCUCACAUUUUUAUAGUAAUGAAGAAAAAGAUGCCAUAACCAAAUCAGAUACACAUGACAGCAAAAGUUUGGUAAACAAUGGGGUAUUAUGAGCUUUUCGAGCUAGCUUGUGAAAAGAAGCUGUAGUUAUUGUAUGAAAUAACCAAAAUUAAAAAAAGUAAUAGAACAAGCAUAGUAGAGAUGAGAUGAGUUAUUAUAAGUUUAUAAAGCCACUUAGAAAGAAAGUUUAGUUAACAAUUAAAUGAACCAAGAUUAGAGAAAGUAAGAAUAUUUGACUUGGGAGAUAACAAGAAGUGUUAAUAGCACAUGCAUGCCACAAGAGAAUUUGAAUUUGGAAAGCUGCGACAUGCAACUUACUUAAGAGCCAACUCUGUAUGUUGAAGUCUGUAAUAGAACACAGCAAGGUCACCAUAACUCUUCAUUGUGUCAGGAUGAUCCAACCCGAGUUCCCUUUCAUUUAUGUCUAGAGCCUUUUGCUGAUAAAUUGUGGCCUGUAAUUUUGAAACUAUUUCAAUUAUGCAACAAGGAAAAAGGAAUAGAAACUUGUAGAAAAAAAUCCAUCAGAAGAGACAUGCUAUAUGAUGACUAUCAUGCCUUUUCUAAAUGGAUAGAUUCAGAAUGAUCAGCAAAUCUCUUGACCAUGAUUACCCUUAAUCCUGAUUUCAGAUGGUCAGACCGGCCAAACUAGAUAGAUUUUUCUCAACUGAUUUGGCCAUGCAUUAGCUCAUAUACUGUAUAUAUUCUAUUAUAAGGGUCUGUUAUUCUAUCCUUGAUAACUUUACCAUAAACAUGUAUUGAAGCGCAUUUCAAAAUACAUAUUCUUAAUCAUCUAGAUGCAUUUCAGGACCAACACUUCUAACAAUGCAGGUGAGGAUUCUUUUAUCAAACAAGUUUGUAGUAAUCUUUAUUGCUGGUGUACAAAAGGAAAGCUCUUAUAUAUACCAUCUAAACCAAAAAUAAUUUGAGGAUUUCUUUAAUUGCACCUGAUUAAAAUCUCCAGUAUGAUAAAGAACAACAGCUAAUAGGCUGUAUGCUCCAGCUGUCAUCCGAUGAUAAGGACCGCACACUGCUAUAAGCUUAGCAAGAGCCUGGAAUCAUAGAUAUAGCUUCAUAUAAGGAGAUUCGCAAAGAUUGGUCUUUCACACCGAACUGGAAGAUUUAUCUUAUUUAGGCAUUACCUUUGUUCCAUAAUUGACUGCAUCUUCAAGUUUGCCCUUGUCAAGAGCUGUUUUUGAAGAUUCCAAGAGUUGCCGUCCAUCAGCUGACGAACAUGCAACUUGCUGCAAAUUUAUUUAAGAGGAGUGUGAAUAAUUGUCCUUAGACUUUAAACAUGUGAAGAUGGUAUCACUAGAGUCACCAUGAAGCUUGCAAUGCUCACCUUAUGCACUGGUAUGAGGCUAACAAUAUCAAAUUUGUGAAAUGGGAAAGCAGAAUCCAUAUCAAAGUCUUGUGGAGCCAACUCAAGACCCACCUAAAUCACAAACUCAUGCAUAAGUUUAAUGUUAUAAGUAACACCAAGUUGGGCCUUCUAACCAUGUCCCUGCAAAAUAUCUAUUUACAUAUAUAACUCUAUAAAAUUUGAAUUUUCAUAUAUACCCUUGAAAGUGCCGUUUCAUUCAAAAGUAUCCUCAAGUCUAGAAAUCAUCGAUAAUUCAUUAGAUGGAAGUUAGUUUUCAUUAGAAAGAUUAUUUACGAUGGGUGAUAUAUAAGAGUGGUCUUUUUGUAAGAACAAGUGCUUAUACGUAUAAAACAAAUUAAGCUUUACAAUGGUGAGCUAGAAAUAUUUAUAGAAGUAGCUACUUUCACUUGGAUCCAUACAAUUCCAACCACCAAAUAGUAAACCUUAGACAUUGAAGGGCCCAAAAAGCGGAAGUAGCACACUUGCAAAAGUAUACUAGCUGGAUUCUAUGUGUGUGUGAAAGAGAGUCCAGCUAGUCCAGCUGGAUUCUAUGUGUGCGUGAAAGAGAGUCCGACUAGUCCAAUUACCAUCCUCUUAUAAGGACGUAAAUAACGCAUAUUGUAGACGUUUUAGCCCUUGGAUGCCUAGGGUUCGGCGGCGGUAUGUGGAACAGUAUUUGAUCCAAGGGCUACAAGUUUAUAGUAUGUACUAUUCAUAUCUUGAUAAGAGAACUAUAGCUAGACUCUCUAUAUAUAUGUAUGUAUGAAUCUGUGUGUGUGUGUAGAACUAAGCUAAUACUAUCGGUAGCAUGGAGGCCUCCAUGCUACCAAUUUGUUUUUAGUUAGGAUAUUCAAAUUAAUGAUCGGCUCCAUUAAACAUGAUCUACACUAUUAGAUGUAUAUAGAAAUCAAUUUUCAUGAUUUUUCAACAUUAUUUACCUUUAAAACGAAUAGUCUCAAAAUAAAUGUCUAACAAUAAAAAUCUCAUAAAAAUAAUGAUAAAAGGCUUAAUUUCAAAUCAGAGGUAUUGAUCUUGCUCUAAAUAGUAAAAAAAAUUAUCUAUCAUAAUUUCACUGGAUUUGGAUUAUUUUACACCGUUAAACUUACAAAUGCAUCAUACCAUUCAAAUUCUCAAUUUUGAAACCCUUUGAUCACUAGUCAAAUGAUGUCGAAGAAAUAUGAAAUUUGGUUUCUCAUCAUCAAUUCGGAUGUCCCAUCAUCGAAAACAAUUUGAUAGUACGAAGGCCUCUGUGCUACCGAUCUUAUACAAGAAGAACUCUGUGUGUGUAUAUAUAUACAUACAGCGAGAGAGUCUAGAUUUUAUAGGAUCGAUAGCACGGAGGCCUCCAUGCUAUCAUGGGAUAUCCGAAUCAACGAUCAGCUCCACAUUAGACAUGACCUAUACUAUUGAAAAUAUCUAGAAGAAACCAAAUUUCAUUUUUUUUUUCACCAUCAUUUACCUUUAAAACAAAUAGUCCUAAAAUGAACGGCGGAAAAUAAAAAUCUCAUAAAAAUAAUGACAAAAGACUUAAAUUUUAUAUCAGAGGUAUUGAAAUUGAGUCCUUUUGAAUAACCUAUGUGAUGCAUUUGUAAGUUUAUCAGUGUAGAAGAAUCCAAAUCCACUAAAAUGUUUUGAUAGAAAAUUCUUCUCACUUAAAAUUUUGAUAGAAAGUUCUUUUUCACUAUUUAGAACAAGAUCAAAUACCUCUGAUCUGAAAUUUAAGUCUUUUACCAUUAUUUUUUAUGAGAUUUUUACUUUUAGCCACUUAUUUUGAGACUAUUUAUUUUAAAAGUAAAUGGUGUUGAAAAAAAAUUAUAAAAUUUAGUUUCUAGAAACUUCCAACAGCAUGAAUUAUGUCUAUCAGAGCCAAUCGUCAAAAACAAAUUGGUAGUACGGAGGCCUCCGUUAUAUUCUAGCCUAGUUCUCU
rnacentral:lncRNA from 1 species